AUAAUUUUAGUUACUAGUUAUUAUAUAUAAAUGUUAAAUUCAUGUAAGUAAAUUUCAGUUAAGCACACGAUAUUCAUUUUAGUAGUUUGCAUAAUUAUAUCAGUUUGCUAAUAAGAUUUAUCAUACUUCUAGAGUUGCUUUUAAAAUUAACUGCAAUUUAAAAAAUAAAUUGAUCUACCGAACUGCCCUUACUUAAUGUAAUAAGUGGUCGGUCGUGCUCUGUUAAUAAUCUUUUCGAUUCUUCGAACAACUUAAAAAAGUUGUAAUGAUUUGGUGCUAACUUCUCACGAAAAGUUUUGAAAUUCUAAAGAGGAAAUGAUUUGGAGCAAGCAAGUUUCUAAAGGCAAUUAACUUUCGGAAAUUUCCCACGUUAUUGUCCUCAAAAUAUUAUUAAUUAAUUAGUAUUAUCGCUUCUUAAUCGACAGCCAGCUAGUGAGCAUUUCAUCUAUGAAUGAUGAUGAUAAACUUCAACGUUUAUUAUAUUAAUUGAAGAGAUAUAAAAAAAACAAGUGUAAUAAUUGUUAUAGAAGAAACUGAUAUUAACGGCUAAAAUACCAUUCUGACAAAUAUUUUUACAUUUACUUGACUCUGUGAUCUCCUUUCCAAGCUUGGUGCUUUGCUGCUUUUCGAUAGUUUCCUCCAAUAAAAUCAAAAGAAAAACAAAUAAAAACAACAUUUGGACGAGUGCACGAACGUCGAGGAGAAUAAUGCUCUCUAUGGGCACGUGAAUUUCUACAAUCGAACGUGUCAUUUUUAUGUCUUUUCACGUGUCAAGUGAAUAAAAUCCAUUAGAAGUUGCGAGUUGCUUUACAUGCACAGACAUUCAUGACAAAAUUACUAGGCAAACUCUUUCUUACAUGUAAGAUACAUGCCUCUCACAUGAAUAGUGUAUAUGUAGGACCCACACACUAUUCAUGUGAGAGGCAUGUAUCUUACAUGCAUGUAAGAUAGGGGAUCCCAAAUUACUAACCCUGAUUACUAGCCAAUUGAGUUAAAACUUGAUUAAAGAUUCAUUGAUAUGUAAAGAACUUAGUAACCAAAGUUGGUUGGUGUAAGUGGUUCAACACUCUUACUCUUUAAGAGAGGACAUGGGUUUAAGUACCGCUCUUGUAUAGAGUCACUACUUUAACCAGCACUUUACCCCUUACGGGCUGACCCGGUGCGAGUAGAGAUUAGUUUAAAUUGUGAUACGGGCUUAAAGGUGUCUCCCACAGUCGAGACCCACUCAGGACCACCUCGUGGUUCAGACAAAUAUAUAUAUAUAUAACUGAAUCAACAAGUAUUACCUGGAUCGUCUUAACUAAUGUUACAGCUUAUCAUUAUCUGUAUCGUCUCGACUAAUGUUAUGAAUAAAUUAAAAUUCAAAUUGGUCGUUGAACUAAUACAUGUAUCUUCUUAAUCAAUUUUAAAAUAUCUAUGAGUCACUUUUAUAUUGAUUCUGUAUCAUUUGGACCAAUCUCAUUUAAGUUUUAAUAUUUGAUUAGUGCGAUAACAAUUUGGUAGUAUAUAUUACCCCAUCCUCAACGGGUAUUAUUAAUUGGAUAUAAAUCUCAAAGGUAGAAAGCGACAAAAGAUUGAGAGCCCAAACAAUUACAAGAUUAUUAAGAAAGGAUUUGGAUUGGUAUUAAGAAGGAGAUUAGAGACAAAUGACAAAUAUAUAUUUAAAAAUAAAAAAAUGACAAUGACACAAGGUAACACACCACGAGAAGCACAGGGCCUUCAACGGUGGUGUGAGAAAACCGCGGGCAGUUUCUCCCCACCACCCCGACACUAAGCGGUUUUGGAAACCUUACUACUUUGACAGCCCACAAUAUCUUAUUUUAGGGUUUUAGCUUCCUUCUCAAAACCACUAGUCUUUCCAUUUCUUCAAUUCUUAUUAAUAAUUUGUCUGUUUUUGUUUUGUUUGUUUGUGACUUGUGGUGCCCUAGCUCUAGCCCUAGUGGGGGUCCAAUACUAAUACCAAUACUGCUGCUAGCUACAGUGUCAAAAAUGACCUUUAUUGUUGAAGACUAGAUCGUCUUUUAAUCUUUUGCCUGCAGCUUAAAGACAGUUCUUGCUCGUGUGUUCAAUUGUCUGCAAGAAAGAUACAAAGAAAGAAAGUAUUAAGUACGAUUCUUUUCUUCUUUCUUCUUUGGUGAACACAUAUUUGGUAUUGGCAUUUUGUGUAUGUCUUUGAAGAUUGUGUAUCAUGAUGUAUGUGCAGGAAAAGUGAGUCAUUAUUAGAUUUAGAGUCCAAAAGUGAAAAGGGACGUCCGUCACGAGUACUCUUUUCUUCCCUAGAAAAUGAGCUAACCCCACAAUAUCGCAACAACUACUCAUCAAAAGCUGUGUAAUGUGAAAUAAUUACGACCAAAACAUGUGUUAAAAAAAAAUAAAAAUCCUGUAAAUUUCAUGAUCGUUUUCCAGCCAUUAACGAUUAUAACAUUAAACAGUUUACUCAGGACUGAACAUGUGACAUGUAAAAUACUUUGAAAAUUUGGUGAUUUUUAUAUUAUAUAUACAAUGAUAAGGUGAUUCGUUGUCAGUCAGUCAGUCAGUCGUCCUUUGAAAUAAAUUGAUGCCCUUGUAGCUUGGCGUAUAGGGUUAGUAACCCGUUAACAAAGCCUUGUGUCUAGCUUGCCUCAAAAAUCUUAAUAUGUGGGGGCAUAGUUGGCAGUCGAAUAUGUUGAAUUAAGUCUAGCUAAUUAAUGAGAGGGAGGGCAUGGCAUGUACAAGAGGCAACAAAAUGCCACACACACAAUUGAUUUAAGUAUAGCCAGCUAGCUAGCUAAUUGCAACUUCAGUAUUCUAAAUGUAGGUCAUUUACGGUAUAUACACAAGUGAUUUGGCAUUAGAAUUAAAUUUGCAAGUUUUCAUUUGAAGUAAAGUACCUAAAAGUUAGUAGAGAGACUGUAUCAUAUGUACACUGGAUCUGCCUAUGCGUUUUGCAUGAUGACAAUAUUCGCCCCCCACUUUAACUCUCUUGAGUUUUUCAAGUGUACAUUGUUGACCAUGCAUACUUGUCAAGAUUGAUUCAUUAAUUGUUUUCAUUUAGAUUGACUUUUUAUCAUGCAUGUGUUUUGAUUUACUUGCUAAGGUGAAGGAAAGUUCAAAUAACCAGACCUAGGAUCCUGAUUUAAUGAGGAAAUUAUAGCAUGCAAGAUUGACAAAAUUUUAGUUAAAACGAUGCCAUAAUUAUUAGUUAGAGACAAAUGAAUCAGUGUCCAGUUCACAGUACACCAAUUAUUGAUCUUCUUGCCCUAGUUCUCACUUUUCGAUAAUUAAUUAAUAAAUUAAUGCUUUUAGCUAAAUUUAACAGAUAAUUGUAAAAAAAGAAGAAGAAGAAAAUGCUGGAUCAAGGUUAUUGAGUUGAAUUAAUAAGCACUGGGGAUUGGUUUGAGAUCAUUCUUUGUUGACUGCUCAACGUACGUACGUGGUGGGUCCUUAACUUACACGUGUAUGGCGUGAUCUCAUCAAUCUAUCAAAUUGCAACAUUAAUUCUAAUGCAGCACACAAUCAAAUGAUAUUCAACUCUAAUUAAUUGUUUGUUUCCUAAACUAGGAAUAUAUAAAUCUAAGCUAGCCAGCAGCACUUUGGUACACCUAAUAAUUUCUUAUCAUGCAUUGUUUAUAGCUAACGUAUAUUCGAACAAGAUUGCAUUAUCAUCUCAACCGCUUAUAUAGCAACAAAGAACGCUUUCUAAUCUUCCGUGCCACAGCAAAAAAUUAAUUAAUUAAGAUCAAUCCAUCUGGUGGUCCUUGAACUACUUUAUAAUUAGAAGUUUAGUUGUUAUUAUUUGGACAAUUAUUUUCCAUAACCUAAGAUAUUCUUGAAGACCAGUCACGGUCUCCUCAAAGAUCAAUUAGACGCCACAUCAAUUCAACAAUAUUAAUUCAAUCACAAUCUAGUGAUAAUGUGUCCAUUUUAAGGAUCUCCUUUCAUGAAAUUUGAACGAAUUAUCCAAGAAUUAAGCAGCUUCCUGUUAGGAAGUCUCACUACAAUCAAAUCCAAUCUCUGUCUUGUCAAAGAUUGAUCAUGCAAAAUGAUGAUUAAAUAGUGGGACAAGUGGUUUUCGUACGCUCUUAUAAUCAUCUCCAGAAGAUUUGUUGUUUCCUGGUUGUUAUACAUUCAUACAAAACAGUUCUUUUAAUAUAGCAAAAUAAAUAUAUAAACGUAUAUAUCAGUAUAUAUUGUGCUACAAGUUGUCUUCUAAAUUAACCUUCAAAUAAUAAUAGGAUCGCGCAACUUCUAGAUAUGCAGCAGUUCAAUCAUUAUUGCACAAGCACAACUGGCCGGUGCAAGUUUGGAAAGCUAUCCUAAAGUCAAUUAAUUAAUACCUUCACAUACGCGUGAGAAUGAAGAUAGCCAGGAUACAAAUUACGUAUCAGAACUAUAUAGUAUAUGUAAAAUUAAAGGUUUGAACUAUUGUCAUUUUAGUUCAUAUACUUAAUUAUUCACCUUAAUUACUUUUUCAAGUUUGUGAUUUGGUAUAUGGAACAGAUGAAAGCAAUUUUGUUUUUUAGGCCAACAUUGGCGGCAUGAAGGAAAUUUUAUCGAAAAGAGAAGAAAAAAAUUACUCCUCGUGGCAUAAUGAGCAUUAACCCAGAGCAUAACUAGGAAGCGAGAAACAUAAAAACAAAAUUAAAAAAAAACCAAAGAAACUGAAACUAGAAAGACCAUGAGCAUCUUAAUGACAACAAAAGGAUCGGACCACCAAAUAAAAUAAAAAAUUGUAGUGCCAAUAAUAUUAGCAUCUUAAUGCAUUGAUCACAUCUGUCGAAUUAUGAAAAUUACACUAUAUUUGUACAAAAAUGGCCGGGACAAAAUUGGAGACAAGACCAAUUGAAUAAAGACCCGUACAUAAAUGAUAAAAAUUUAUUUAAACAAACGAUUUGUUUCUUAGGUUAAAUGUUUUUAAUCUUUUACUGCUUUUAUUUUUAUCCCCAUUUUCGCGAUUGUUGGUACAUGUGUCAAAUCAUAGGUGGAAGCCUCUAAAAAAUAUAAAUUAACCAAAAAAUCAAUUAAGAGAUUACGGUUUAAUUAAGGAUCCAUAUAGAGUUAGUUAGCAGAACCAGCUGGAAAAUGUUUGUCUGAACCUGUUGCAGAAAAUUAACACUUGCUGGCGUUUUUGAUUAAUUAAUUUAGUUAUGAAUAUACAAACUUAAAAAGUCAUGAAUGAGACGUGUUUGAACUUGCUUUAGUUUUCAUCAAUAGUUGAUUAAUUGGUUUAAGGUACGCUAUUAGCUGUUGUUUGGAGUGAUUAUGAGACAUCAUAUCUCCUUGUUAAUUGGAGGAACAUUAAUUUAGUUGAACUUAACUACAAAUUAUUGACCAGAUAGGAUUUCUUUAACAGAACAAUGCCCAUUAAUUGUCCAAUGCGAAAGAUUAUAGACGUAUCAUUCUACUGUUAAAGAACUGAAUAUUUCAAAUAAGAUUAUGUUGGUGGAAACUGGAUGGCGAAUCAAAUCUUUGAAACUGAUGAAUUUUUUAAUUAAAAAAAAAAACUGCCCAUUAUAUUAAUUUGUUUCCUUGUACGUUCUUCUUUUGUUUGUGAUAUUACUUGAUUCCUAAUAUUAUUAAAGGAAUUAGAAGAUUCUCUACAACUAGAUGUCGCAUAAUAAUUCUUCAUUCAAAAGAAGAAAGGAGGGAAAAAAAAAAGUCUCAUAAUAUAUAUAACCCUACAUGUAUAUUUGUAACCGCGAUCGAUGCCAUGCCAUGCAUAUAUGCCCUAAAAUUUAAAAGGAAUGGUACAGGAUUUACUAUUGAGUUCCUGAGGGAGGAUUAAGAUUUUAGAGUAAAAAUUAAAAUAUCUGAGUCCGUAUUAAUUCUCAGUUCUCUUAUCUCGAUUGAAACUGAAAACUGAUUUUACUAAAUCUAAACACGUUGAAAAUAUAACCUGCUGCAUGCCCCCAUCGUACGUUUCUGCUGUGAUUGCUGAAAGAGAAUCCAAAACUAUUUAGAAGCAUUACAGAUACAAUGAACCACUACUGCUCAUCUCCCUCAGUUGCAGGGAACUUCGGCACUUACAGGAUAUGAUGCUAUUCUUACCUAACAUUGAAACAAACUGGUUUUCUUACCUAAUAUGUAUAUCAUUUGUAUCGGAAUGCUAACUUAAUUUUACAGUCUCAUCGCAUAUGCACAUGUAGAUCCAGGGUUAGAAUACGAACGUAACUAUCAACUUUAUAUAUAUGAAAUAAGGAUAUUAGUUAUGGCAUCCCAACGAUAAUACACUAAGUUAAUUUACCGUUGUCGUCGAGUAAAUGAUUUGAUCCCACGAUUGCUCAUUGCAUGACAGAACAACUUCACAUCGAUAUAAGUAUAAACUCAUUAUUCAAUGUAAAAAUCCUCUUGUUUUCUACCUAAAACUUUUAUUUAUAACAUCUUAAUCAAUACUAUCCUUUUCUUCUGCUUUUGACCCCCUUCUCCUUCUUUUCCUUUUUCUUUUUGUAUUAUUUAUGGAAUAUUUUUAUUAUUAUGUUCUCAUUGCAAUUUAUUUUGGGUGUAAAAUCCAAUAUUAACAUAAAUAUAAAAAAAUUAAUAACUAAAACUAUACUAAAUAAUUUAUUUACACUUGGCUUGAUUAAUAUUGUUGUGAGCAUGUGUUAAAUCUCUUAAAAUUGGGUACGUUGAAUAGUUUUAUUGGUGUUUUAAGUACGUAAGGAAUUUUUCUUUUCUGAAUUUUUAAGAUUGUAUAAAGUAAAAUUUCAAAAUUAGUAUAUGAAAAUACAAAGUAAUAGAGUAUUCCAGGUAAGUUGUAGAAUGCAAAUAGUCACGUCCUACUUUAAAUUAUAAUCGGCAUGUGGAUCUUCUAUAACUCAUCAUUUAUAGUUUUAUUUACAGAUGACAUAUCAUUCAUAUGAUGAGCAUACAGAUGACAUGGUGUUCAGUGCAUUUGACAUGUGUAAAGCCGUAAAUAGUAUGUGUUGAUGCAUAUCUAGGUAACUUAUCAUUUGUAUUUUGUUCUCAAACGAUAUGUCAUUUCCGUUGCAAACAUCUUGAUUAUAUGACUUCUAUCUUCUUAAUUGACAAAUGAUGCCUCAUCAAUUAAAUUGAAUUCUACAUGAUUUUAAUAAAAGUAAGAUAUUGUUCUUUUUUUAACAAUUACAAAAAAAAAAUCAUUACAAUUGUAAUUGUAAAAAAAUGCUUGUGGCUUAUGCUAUAGGUCCUUUGGAAGCCCCUCCUUCGAAGGGAUUUUGAUAGUUGUUUGUUUUAUUUGUAUUUAGGUACGCACACAUGUGUUGCAUUGUCAAAACACGACAAGAUGUAGCAACUAUAAUUAUCAAAUUACUAAGUGCUUAUUUAAUCGCAUAAGUUAUUUUCAAAUUAUUUCUUGUUAUUUGGUAAUUUUUUUUAGUUGAGGGUUUGAAGAUUAAUUAAGCUAUUCUGCUUUUACUAGGAAAAACUCAAAUUUUGGGCUUGGGAAUAGAGGUUAAAAAUCUUUUUUAGAAUGUGAAAUUAUCUGAAAUAUCUUUUACAUAUUUUAUAAUUUUAAUUCACUAUUUUCAUAACAUAACUUUAAAAAACUUGUUUAUUAAGAUAAUUUUAUAAUUUUUAAUAAAAACUCUCAUUGAUGACUAAACAACUACUUUUUUUUUUCUUUUCUAUGAAAGCUCUACUAACAAAAAUUAUACUUAAAUAAACUCUAUUUGAAAAGUUAUAUUAAAUGGAGCCUAAUAUAGUAAAAUGAACUAACAAAUGAUCAUUUUUACAUAGAAGUAAAAUAAAGUUACAAUGCAAAAUAUUCAAGAAACCCCACACAUAGUAGUUAUUGAAAGAAUAGUGACGUUUGAUCUCCUAUAGUUCUUUUACCAGCCUUCACUUUUCAAUUAUUCUCAUUUAUUUCCAAAAUUACCCUUAUUGAAUAACAAAAAUGUUAAACAAAAAUGAAAUUAUAAAAAUACUAGCCAUUUUCCACCACCAUUGUCAUCAGUUCAAGCCACUGCACCAUUAGCCACUUGUCACCAAUUGAUCAUACCAAAAAAAUUUAUCAACGACUACCAACUAAAACCCCCUUUUUUUUAAAAAAAAGAAAAUUGAUUUUGGCAAGAUUGAUGCAAUAUUGUCAAAAUCAAAAUAAUAUCACAUGAAAAGACAGAGAGAAUAAUUUAAGUAUUGGAAUCAAGAAAUUAGAAAUUAAGUUGAAUGAAUGGCAAAGAAGAAAAUGAGAAGGCGAAUAAUUAAGCGGCUGAGAUUAGAAUGAAUGAUAAAUAAUGGUUGCUUGAGGUAGUAACAAUGAUAGUAGAAGGUGGCUGGGGUUUCUAAAAUUUUUGUUUUAAUUACAUUCUUAUUUUUUAAUAAGGAUAAUUUAAAAAAUUAAGAAAGUUAAUGACAUAAUGAAAAUUAGUGUGAAAAAUUAAAAGGAUUAUAUAUCACCAUUCUUAUUUAAAACAAGUGAAAGAUUGCAAUUAGGCCCAUCUGUCGAUUCACGUACUAGAGAAAAAUAUGAUUUCCUUGUUAAAUACACCCGGUUGUACAUGGCACAUAUUAGGGAUGGGGUGUAUAUAGUAUUAAUAUUCAAGUAAAGUACAGUUCCUGUUGCAAAGAAACUUGUCCAAGCCUAAAAAUAAACUUCGUUCAACCCAAAGCCUUUUUGAUGCCAUUUGGCCCAAAUUAACGUGCUCUGGUCAUGAUUCACGCAGGGAGAUGUCGACACCCCUGCUUUUAUUGUCAGGAACUGGGAUAGAAUCGUAACUUUUGACUUUUUGUCAUGAAUUAACGAAAAAAAAAUGGAAAUAUUCAAAUAAAUUUGAUAAGGAGCUGAAAUUGCCUAACAAUGAGUUGUUUUUCGGAUACAAUGAACCUCGCAAUUUGAUAUCAGCGCGCACAUUUAUCUUAUGGGAAAUUUACGUUGUCAAAACCAUCAUAGUCGCAAGUCAUUUUUAUUAUUAAGGUAUUGUAAAUUUUAAGUCAAAAUUAAUGUGAAAAAAUUAUAAUUAUAAAAUAAAUAUUGAUAGUAUUUAAUAAAUAUAUUUUUAAUAAUAAUUUUGAUAAAUAAUAAAAAUAUUAUUAAUUUUUAAUCAUGUAAAUAUUACAUCAAUUUAAUUUAAUUUUUAAAUUAUAGCCGUUAGUAUUUAUUAAAUAACUUUAAUUAAAUAACUUUUAAGUCAUAAUCUUAAGCGUAAGUACACAUUUUAAUUUUUAACAAAUAACGAUCCUUUUGUUUUAGAAACCAAUUUCAUUUUUAACUGCGGAGACAUUGUGAAAAGUCCAUUUCAGCUGGAGCCACGUGUGCAUUUUAUUAUUUAAUGGGAUAGAAUAGAUCAUCGAACCGACCUCUGAGUGUAUUAUAUUGUAUUGAAGGAAGAAGUUGACGUUUCUUUCUAUGGAGUUAUAAUAAAUAUCUUUCUUCUUAUGUUGUCUGUGACGAAAUCAAAGAGAGGGAAAUAUGAAGACGGAAGCGGUAAAGAGUGUAUGGUCCCCAAAAAACAGGGGGGGCUAGUGUCAACUAAUAAAAUAAAAUAAAAUUUAAUUUUGCUUGGGUACGGAAUUGCGGGUGGCGCUUGGCUUUGUCCUGCACCCACUUGUUUCAAUAUUUUUUAUUACGCACCCAUAUAUUUUAAAAAUACUCACUCUAUACUUAAUUCUGUUAAUUUGACCGUUUAUUCUAACGGUUAAAGGAUAAAUUUAGAAAUUCAUAUCCUAAAUAUUAUUUGAUGAUGAUAAAUUAAAUUUAUUUGAUAAUUUAAUUAAUAAAAUUAUUAUUAAUUACUUUUAAAUAAAAUUUUUUAAUGUAAACAUUAAUUAUUAAAUUAAUAUUUUAUCUCAUUUUAUUUUUUUUUAAUUCAAGAUAAGGGGUAUUUCGGAUAUUUACUUAAAUUUUAAAUAGUUCCGUUAAACAUAACGGUCAAAUUAACGGAAUUAGGUGUGGAGUGAAUAUUUUCGAAACACAUGGGUGCGUGGUGAAAAAUGUUGAAACAGUUGGGGGCAGGACAAAAUUAACCCUAAAAUAAAAUAAAAUUUAAUUUUGCUUGGGUACGGAAUUGCGGGUGGCGCUUGGCCUUGGCAGCAUUUUGGCAUAUGCUGAGGAUAACAUAAAACACAGCGCCAACUAAAACGGACUUAUCGCGUUUUUUCCUGGGACCGAAUCACCGGGGGAGGGAGAGGGGGAGCUUAUUUAUCCAACUCACGUAACGCUUAUUCGCUGAACACCGACCAAAAUAAAUAAAAAUAAAAAAUAAAAAAACAAAUUUGGAAAAAAAGAAUCAUGACCAUUAUAUUCUUAAGUAAUUAUAAUAUUCCCAAUUUACAUUUUACUUCUUCUUCAUUUGUUGCUCCUCCUUUUACGAGUUUUCAAAAAUAUCCAACUCCACCGCCGCUCAAACGCUUUUCUCUGAUUCGUGAUCCUCCUAACCGGUUUUCUGUCAUUUGCUUCUCUUCUGUUCCAGGUUACUCUUCUUUUCCCUUGAUCUUUCUUUAUUUUAUUUAAUAUUUGGGAAUUAAUUUGUUUGAUUAAUGGUUAAUGGGCGCUUAAAGCUUUUUUUUUUAAAAAAAAAAUCUUACAUUGUAAUGUUUUGAUUAUGUUGUGGUGGUGGGCAUUGUUGUGUUUUACUAACCUGGGCCUCCAUGCCCCCAGAUGGGAUCUAGUUGCUUGUCUAGUGGAACCAGUAAGUUUUAUCUUAUUUUUAUUUUCUGCUCUUAAUAAACACACGCUGCGCGUCCAUUUUUAUCAGGCUUUAAUUAAUUGCUUGUCGCACAUCUUAUGCUGUUGAGUUUUGAUCUUGUUUGUUUGUUGGUAUGCAGACGGUAUGGAUACUGCAGCAAGUACAAGUCUAUACCCAUUUCACAGAAGUAAAACCAUUCACCUGGUUUGUGCCAACUCUGCCCCUUGUGUUUAUAAUAUUGUAGAAAUUUGCGUGCACUUGAAACUUGGACGAAGCAUGCUUGAUGGGAUCUAUGUCAAAUUUCAAAUUUUGAAUACAGGUGAGGCAUGCUCAGGGUAUUCACAAUGUAGAAGGAGAGAAGAACCAUGAUGCUUACUUGUCCUAUGAUCUUUUUGAUGCACAUCUUACCCCACUUGGCUGGCAGCAGGUACUUUACUGAUUCUAUGUUGUUUCAUUAUAAGUUUAUCUUCUUGAGAAGUUUCGAUUAAUGAAAACUAGAAUGUAGAACGUUAUUCCUAAUCAUAUUCUGAUAGGAAUAGAUUAUGUGUUGUGUGGAGUUUUAGAACAAAGGGAAUCAUAAAUCUUUAGUUUGUCUGAAUUUUGAAAAUUUUAAUGGUAUAGUCUAGGUUGGUCCUUAAUGACAAGUUAUGGACUAUCAAGUGUCACUUACAAUUCGCAUCAGAAAACUUCUCUCAGAAUUUAUUUCGAUAAGAUGUAUUUCCUUUUUAUGGAAGGAUGAUGCUUUAUAUUAUUCUUUGUACAAUAACAGGUCAGUAAUCUGCACAAGCAUGUUCAUGAAACUGGGCUUGCUAAGAAAAUUGAGUUGGUCAUCACUUCCCCUUUGUUAAGGUAAUACCUUAAAAAAUAGAGUUUUGAUUUUGUAUUUUUUAAUUAUUGCUUAGCAAUUUAACAUUGCAUAGUUGACUUAAAUUCUUGCGUGCAUUUCAUCAUUAUUCAUGUAGUCUUAUUCUUUUGGGUUAUGAUUUUUCAUCACUUGGAUUGUAGGACCAUGCAAACAGCAGUAGGAGUCUUUGGUGGUGAAGGGUAUGCAGAUGGGAUAGAUGCACCUCCGUUGAUGGUGGCUGAUGCAGGGAACAGCAACCAUGCUGCAAUAUCAAGUCUAAAUUCUCCACCAUUUAUUGCAGUUGAGCUUUGUCGUGAACACUUGGUAUGUAUCGCAUGUAACAGAUUUUAGUCAUGUAGCAUAAACAAAAGAAAAACUGUGUUCUACUGCUUGAGUUGGGAGCCUAGAAUGUGCGACAUCAUUGGUUUUCUUGUUUUAGUUCCUUAAGACUCUUUAAUUUCAGGGUAAUUUUAAAUCCCCAUAGGGUUAGUUAUAGGAGGGCCCUUUUUUUUUUUUCAUGUUUGUAGGCUGAGAAAUCUAAGCCGUUUAACACUACCGUGGAAUUGGGACAUAUUUCUGGUUUUUCUUCCACUUUUUACUUGAUUAAAUGUUUCAGAAAUAAAGAGAAUUUAAUUUUGUAUUACUUUACUCAUGUUUAACUUUCACCACUACAGGGAGUUCAUCCGUGUGAUAAGAGAAGAAGCAUCACUGAGUAUAAGUCUCUUUUUCCUGCUAUUAACUUUUCACUGGCAAGUAAUUGGUUAUAAUUGGUUUUUGUUUUGCUGAUGGCAGUAACUAAUUUUUCUGCUGACAAUCGAAUUUGGCUUAGUUUGAUUAAUAGUCUCUUUUUUCAAUUGUUGUUAUAGAUAGAGAGCAAUGAUGACAUUUUGUGGACGGCUGAUGUCAGAGAGGCUAAUGAAGAAGUUGCAAAGAGGGGUAUGAAGUUCGUAAACUGGUGAGUUCCCUUUUGCCUGUAUUUAAGAUUUUAAUAUUUCAAACAACAUGUGAAAAUAACAAAGUACUGAAAGUUUAUGCAUGAAUAUGGAGAAUAAGGCCCACAAAGGGUCAGCCCAGUUGGUUGAGGGCUUGAGAUCUGGUGCUUAUAAUUCCACCCUUUGUUGUUUCAUGGGUCAUGGGGUUGGGGCGCCCGACUUACCACCGAGGGCCUGGCUGGGCCAAACCAGCCAGGCCGAGUUGUGCAAGACUCUGGAUUAUCAAAAAAAAAAAAAAAAUGGAAAAUGGGGUAUGCGCCUGAAAUUGGUUAGAAACUAUUGAUAUAAAAUAAAUUAGCCUGAUGCAGGGGGAAGUAGUCUGUAGCAGGAAGCUAUCUUACUACCGACUGGUGAGGCCUAUUUUGGGUUUUCUUGCACUAGUCUAUGUUUUACAAGACUUCAGGCUUCAAGAUGUCAUUGUCCUGUAGUAAAUUCAAAUUACCACAGUUUGUCUUCCAUCAAAUGGUGGUCGCAUGUUUGUCCUAAGUGAAUGGUUAUUAGUUGCCUUUUACUUGGCAUUCUUAAUACUUGGUGUCUGAACUUUGUGUUUUUAUCUCAUUUUGAAUCUAUUUAUAGUAGUUAUGUGAGAACUUUAUCAUGUCCGAGUCUGUUGUACCUCUCAAUGCCACUUUUAUUAGAGGAAUUUGGAUGACAUUUUUUUUUGGGGGGGGGGGGGGUUGAAAUUCUAGCAAAAUUGUAAAUGCUCCUCUUUGAUUGGUGAGGGUAUUGCAUAGUUCUUAUAUUUCCCACCAAUUUUGUUUUCUUGUUGAAUAAAAUGUAUAUGGACAUCUAAUGCACACAUUGGUAAGCAGCUUCUGCAGAUUUUAUAUCAAAUCUACUCCUUACAAUUUCCUGGCCUUUGUGCAUUUCAAUUGUUCCAGGUUGUGGACACGGAAAGAGAAGGAGAUUGCAGUUGUUACUCAUAGUGGGUUCUUAUAUCAUACCCUAAGUGCUUUUGGAAAUGAUUGCCAUCCAUCUAUAAAGAGUGAAAUAUGCACACAGUAAGUGUUACCCAUUUGUUCACCUGCAAUUGUCUGUAAACGGCUUGAAACAUGGGUUACCAUUUAUAUAUAUAUAUAUAUAUAUUGUUUUGAAGGAAUUUUAUUAAACCUGAGUGUUGAACUUCGUGCUUGAUGUGCUAUUUUAAGCCAUUUGGUUGGUGACUGACUCUCCUCCAUUCUGCUGAUUCCUCAUUUACUUUUCUAAGCCAUCUGCUAAUAAUUUCUCGCUGCAAGAUAUCGUUUUGAAACUGCUGGUUCAUUUCGUAAGACUGGUAGCUGGAUAUGACUUUCUUUGCUUUUCGUUAUGUGCCUGUUUUCUGUUGAGCUCAAAGUUUUUCAUUCAUAGUUUUGUAAAAUUUGUAUGGUAAAUAAUGGUAGCUUGUGAAUUAAGCAGAUGUUCAGUUUCUGUAUUUAAGUAUUCUUCUGAGGUACAGUUUUUAUCUUAAAUUAGUCAUCUGGGGUAGUAAAAUUAGAUGGUUCUGUUCCUGGCCUGGGUUCUAGUCUCCCGAGGAGAUUGAAUAACCUCUUCCAUGUUCUUACAUGUAGCAAUUACCUGCUGAAAAAUUGAUAGAAGGAGAAAUUUAAAUUUGCGGCAAAAAUUAAACAUAUCUCGCUGGUUUUAUACACAAAUAUAUGUUGAUUUGGCCCAACUACUUGCUAAAAUGCUUUCUGCUAUCUGUCUGCAGCUUUGCUAAUUGCGAACUUCGCUCAAUGGUUAUUGUUGAUAGAAGGUGAGCAUGUUAAGAAUAUAAUUUCCUGAGAACUUGCUGCCCAGCCUUUGCACAACUCAUGUUUUCGAACUGUUGUUGCAAAAUAAUAAACUUAUCUUUUUUGUUGCAGCAUGAUUGGCUCAGAUGCGCCAACAACAAACUACCCAGGAAAGAUUCCCAGCGGUCUUGAUCUUCCUAGUGAUGUUGCUGCUGAGAAGCAUCCGAAGCAAGGAGCAUCUCAGUAAUCAUAGCCUGGGCAUGGGGUGAUACAUUGAUCGAACUGGAUUAUGAAUAUGAUGAUAUCAAGAAUUUCAAGUGAAUCACUGAAAUAGCAAUAUUAUCAAACUAAAAAGAUUUUAUGAGCUUGCAAGCUCAGUUACCCAUUGUCAAGAUUCUUUCUUGGUAUAGGCGAUGCCUUAAGUUUUUAAGACUAGGCGCCUAUUCUUAAUAGGAUGUAUGAAAAUGAAUUAUAUGUUAACUCAAAGAGACAAGAACCUUAGAUCAUUCUUCUGAUUAUUUUGCUCGUGAAGAAUAAUUCCAUCAAGAUUUGCAUCAUCUUGACGUUUCCUUUUUAUAUGCACUUAUUUAUUUAUUUCCAUCUUUCCCUAUUACCUCGAUUUUAAUCGGUCAUUUCGUACAUUCUUAUAUAUAUUGUGAGUACCAUUGGGAACAGUUGCUGCUAAGUCUUGAGUACCAUUAGGCAUGGGGUAGAAAUAAACAUGAAUAAAUCAAUUGAUCUACGUAAUUGCCAAGAAUAAUCAUUUCAAGUUUCAAGUUCAAAGUCCAAGGAAAUAUCUUUCUUUUGAAUCUGUUCAAACUUCAAACCAACCAAAGAUGGUGAGAGUCACAAAGGAAGAAAAAAAGCAAUGGAGACCCCGAUUUAAAUAUAUGUUAAUUGAGACUAUGGGGAAUAGAGGUUUGUCUGUUGCAUGAAUUAAGAUGCAGAAAAUAUUAAACACGCUUUCAGAAAAUUCUCAAUAUAGGUCUCAGGAAUUUGGUCCAGCGAUUACGUUGAAGGCACAAAAUAACGAAUCAAAGCUGAUAAAAGUAAAAAUCAAAGUAAACCCACCCAUCUCACACUUCAUUUAUUAUAUAUAUGUUGCUCACAGCAUUUAUUGUCCUCCCAUACUCAAUUGUGUCGUAAAACAUUUUCCCAAUUCCAUUUCAAUACUACUAGUACGAAUCUUUAACUUGUUUCUAGCCAACGCUCUUUUCAUUUCUCAUCAAUUUUUGACACACGACUUUGCAGAAAUGGUGACUGCCCAGGCUCAGUUUCUGUACUCACCGAACAAUUGCAAAAUUCUACACAUGGUGAGGCACGGUCAAGGGGUUCACAAUGUAGAAGCAGAGAAGAAUAUUGAUGCAUUAUUGUCUCCAGAGCUGUUUGAUUCACCAAUCUCAGCAUUGGGUUGGCAGCAGGUUGCUGAUCUCCGCAAGUACGUUCAUGCAACCGGACUCUUAAAGCGGAUUGACUUGGUCGUCACUUCCCCUUUGUUAAGGUCGAAUCAUUAUCAUCACAUACAUCGCCCCAAUUUCAUUUUUUAAUCGCAUGCCUCACCCAAGUGUUUGAACUCCCGCGUGGUCAGCUAAGUAAUGCUGCUUCAAAACCACGCAGGCGAAAUAUAAUGGCUUAACUAACAAUUGUAUAUUUGGAAUUUGGCAGGACCAUGCAAACAGCAGUUGGAGUGUUUGGUAGCGAAGGAGCAGAUGCAGGAUUCAAUUCAAAUUGCCCACCCAUUGUAGCUCACGAGCUUUGUCGAGAUCGUUUGGUAUUAAUUGUUUACUUGCAUUACAAUUAAUUAACAAAAGGCUAGCUUAUAUAUAUAUAUAUAUUACACGUGCGUGCGUGUACAUACACACACCAAUUUUGUUCUGAUUUUAAUUAAUUAAUUGAUUAAUUUUGUUCAUCAGGGCCUUCGUCCAUGUGAUCAAAGGAGAAGCGUGAGUGAGUGUCGGUCUCUUUUCCCAGAAAUCGACUUUUCACUGGCAAGUGUAUUAUACUUUACCGAUGAAUUAAUCAAUUAAUGUUGUUAUGUUUUGAAUAUCAUCCACGUUAAUUAAUUAUAAAAUUAUCAAUUAAUCCGUAACUUUUAUUAUUUAUUUAUUUAUUAAUGCAGAUGGAGAGUGAAGAAGAUGAUAUGUGGUAUCCUGAAGCCAGAGAGCCUUAUGAAGAUAUCGAAGCCAGGGGAAUUGAGUUUCUCAAAUGGUGAUUGAAUUUGAACAUCAUCACAUGCAUAUGCAUAUAUGCAUUAAUUUUUCUUUUUUUUUCAUCAAUUAAUUAAUUAAUAUUAAGAAUGAAAUUAGUUAACAAAUUUAAGCUGGGCCGGUUAUUAAUUAAUUUACAUGUACAGGCUGUGGACACGGCCAGAAAAGGAAAUUGCAAUUGUGAGCCAUGGGGUAGUGUUGCAACAUUUUCUCUAUGUUUUAGAAAAUGACAGUGCUGACCCGUCCGUGAAAACUGGUUUGUGCAGACGGUAGGUACAACUACGGGUACCAGCACUCAUUCAUAUUGGCUUCCUCUGCUUUAGCCUUUUGGCUUGACUUUAUAACUUUGACCAAAUCCAAAAAUCACGUGUAUUUUUUUAUCUAGCUAAGCUACUUUCCACAUUGGUGGCUGACUGCAUAUGCUUAAUUAAUGUUGUUAAUUAAUUAAUUAAUUCUGUAAGCAUGAAUAAUCUUUUCUUUCUUUUUUGAUGUGCAUGCACUCAGCUUUAACAAUUGUGAGCUUCGUUCUGUUGUCGUCGUCAACAAAGGGUACGUCAGCUUGUCAUUUGCAACAAAUAUGAAUCACUGCUCUGAAAUCUAUCCGUCUAAUUAUACCCAAAAGGCUCACCCUUUACUUAAUUAAAUUUGCAGGAUGAUGGACUCAGAUUAUAUUUCCUCGGCAACUAAUUAAGUAAUAAUCUACUUUGCAUCAACUCCUUCUUGCGUUUAAGUGGUCCGCCAGCUUCCCAACUCAACGAUGACGUGACUAUAAAUUGUUUCAUUUUUUCAUUUUUUUUCCUUUUUUUCAUUGGGAUUCUCUCUCACUCUCCGUCCAACCCAAGGAUACCCAAGGAUAGAUGAUAUGACGACCAGAUAUAAAUUGCUUCAUUUAUUCAUUCGUUUUAUUAUUUUUCAUAAGGACUUUGUAUCCAAUUGAAUACUUUAUUUGUUGUUAAUAAGAUGGCGUCAUACCCUUUACGUAAUGAAUCCCGUCAAAAUUUUAUAAGCGCUUGCUAGCUUUGUCUUUCUUUUUCUCAAAGCGUUUAUAUAUAUUCCUUUACAUCUCUCCAUAAACUUAGGGAUCUAGAACUGAUAUUAAAUUUGUUGUGAAGAUUCUCAACAAGGGGGAAAAAAGGCGAAGUUUUUGCUCAAAUAUUGAUUACUUGGUCAUGCCACAUAAUAUAUCUUGUUGAUGCAAAUUUUUGCUCAAUGUACAGUGAUUGAUUUGUGUUUCAAACUUUCUUCUAAAUCGAGCUCUGUGGUUUAUUUUUUUUCUUGAGGCGAGUAUUUCAAAUCACACGUUUCCUUGUGGUUAAUUGUUCUACAAAAAAAAAAAAAAACAAUUAUCAAAGGGUGCUGGGGUUGCUGGCGAUAACUCUUCAGCUUUCAAGUUAGCCUUUUAAAUUUGAUUGUAGACAGAGAAUUUAAAGAGAGAAUGACAACAUUUCUUUACCUUUUUUCUCUUACCUCCAAAUGGGGAGUCUUGGUAUUUAUAUAGGCAAUUUGAUCCAUGAGAUGGAGGUGUCAUCAUGACACGUGACAUUGUCUUAGUGACAAGUGUCUACAAAACUCUUGCAUAAAGACACCUGUCAUAAUGUGUCAAGCUUGUUCAUGACAAGUAAUCUUUGGACCUUUGUCAUGUUUUUGGGCUGUUAACCUUUAAUGAACUUUAACUUAAAUUCGGCACUUAUAUUGAUUCCUUACAAAGUGGAUUGAUUUUACAACAUUUUGUCUGUAAGCGCAUUCUGCCCGUAGGCGCAUUCUGUAGAAUGUGUAUAAGCCCGGAGGCACAUUCCGUAGAAUGUGUAUUUGCCCGUAGGCCCAUUCCUUAGAAUGUGUAUUUGCCCAUAAGCCCAUUACGUAGAAUGUGUAUUUGCCCGUAGACCCUUUACUUAGAAUGUGUAUUUGCUCGUAGACGCUUUACUUAGAAUGUGUAUUUGCCCGUAGACCCAUUCCGUAGAAUGUGUAUUUACCCGUAAGCUCAUUUUGUAGAAUGUGUAUUUAUUGAGAAAUAUUUUCGAAGUGUCUAGGCCAUGAAUGGACCUAGGUCAUUCUUUGUGAGGAAUGGACCUAGGUAGUUCUUUGUAAAAAAUGGACUCAUGUCAUUCUUUAUAAAUAGUGGACCUAGGUCGUUCUUUAUAAAGAAUAGACCUAUGUUCUUCUUUUUUGAAUCAUGCCUUUAGCAUUUUGUCGAAAACUCGCCUUUUGGAUGUUUUACUUAGAAAUAUUUUCUAAGUUCCUACGUCAUUCUUCGUAAGGAAUGAAUUUAGGUCAUUAUUCGUAAGGAAUGAACUUAGGUCAUUCUUCGUAAGGAAUGAACUUAGGUCAUUCUUCAAGAUUUAUGUCUUUUUUUGAUGAAUCGCGCUUUUGACUUUUUGUCGUAUCUUGCAUGUAGACACUUUAGUUAGAAUUGUAAGUAUUUUGGUCAUUCUUAUAGAGAACAGGCCUGGGUUAUUUUAUUAAAAUAAUUUUAUUGGACCUAUAUUUUCGUGAGUUUUGAGCUUUUCAUAAUUUGGUCCAACAUAUCUCAAUAGAAAUUUAUCAUGUAAUGGAUAGAUGACAUAUCAUUUAUCAUUACGAGCAAAGCAAGAAUUUUUUUCAAUCAGGUUAGGUUGAAAUUAAUUUUAUUUAAGGUACUAAUAAUUUAUAUAUAAAUUUUACAAUUUUCAUUAAGGUUUGAUGUAGUUCGCAUUUAGUUAAACAUUUUAUUGAGAGAAUUAUGAAAGAAAGAAUAACAAAAAACUCUCAUGAAUAGCAUUACAUUAAAUCAUAAUAUUAGAUUGAAAAUUCAACUUGAGAUAAUUAUAUUAUAAAUAAAAAUAUUUAAUGUAGAGAAGAAAAAAAUUCAAGCAUAUACUGCGUGUUAAUUAAUUUUCUCCUCAUUAAAGUUAGAAUGUAAAUAUAUCUACUUAGGAGGACAUAAUUAUAAUUUAGAUAAAAAUUAGGACGGGCUACAAUCCGGCCCAAUCAACAAAUAGCUUUGCCGCAGGGCCGCACAUUAUGAUGAAAUCUUUUGGAAAAUUAGUAAACACUUUUUUUUUUUUUUGAGACCGAUAUUACAAUAAGACUAUAACUUAUAUUGCAUGAGACUAUUACCAAUAUUUAAAAAUCAAACUAUUAUCGAAACAAGUUUAUAUUAAAUUUUAUGAAGCACUGCUAAAUUUUUUUGACCUUUCUAAUAUUCGAGAAUAUUUACUUAACGCAUAUUCAGACUAUUAUUGAGAUAAGUUUACAUUAAAUCCUAUGAAGCACUGUCAAGAUUUUUAUCAUUUCUAAUAUUUGAGAAGCGUCUACUCUACUUAUAUUUAGUAAGAGAGAAGACUAUUUUCACUCAAUUAUUUAAUGAUUGAGGAAGAACUGUAACCCACAUAAUGCUUUUAUGGAGGGGUCGAACUGUGAGAACAGCUACUCUAGCUAUUUGGCAUUGGCUUGCAAACACUUACCUACUAACAUUAAAUAAUUAUUUUUUUAAAUGACUGUGUGUAUGUGUGUGCGUUCGUGCUUGUGUGUGUGUGUUUAGUUUUAAAUUAGAUAAUUACUAAUUUAUAUAAUAAGCGGGUCUUUUAAAAAAUAAUGAAUUUUUUAAAAUAAAUUAUUAUCUUAUAAAUUUAUCGAAUUAUUAAUUUAUCAUGUUGGCCUUAAGUCACGACUAAUAAAAAUUAUUAUUUGAUCGAGAUAAUUAUUUUAUUGUAUAUUAAUUUAUACGGUAGAACUUCAAUAAAUUAAUAUUUAAUAAAUUAUGAUAAAGACUUAAAAGCAAGUAACCUUGGUAUCAGACAAUUGGAAGACUUAAAACCAAGUAACGGAAAGAAAUUGGUGUAGUGUCAAUUCCAAUUCCCAUUUUAAGACGUGGAAAUUAAUAGGAUCAUGCGAUUAGCACAAAAAAAAAGUCCAGCAAAAGCUCUUUCCACGCAAUUACAGGAAUUUGGGUUGGAAAUUUAGUAUGUGUUUACAAUUCCAUGCUUACGAAUGAUGCACGAACGUUACAGCUGGCGGCUGGAUUUUGAUUCUUCUGUUGAGUACUGUUUACAAGACUCAUUCCAAUUAGGAAAUUAAUUCACAAGUCAAGCUGCGGAAGCCAAGCAGUUGCAAUAGAAAUGAUGAACAUAAUGAUGAUGAAGCCAUUCAUUAAUCAUUUAUAUUUCAUUCAAUGUAUAUUUUUAUUUGCUGAGAAAAUCCCUCCCUGCCAAAUCCAUUUGCAUUGGCGUUAAAUUGACUUACUGCUAACUAAAAUAAUACAAUAAUAGCACACUGACGAAUUAAUAAUUACAAAAUGCAAAGUUGGAAAUGAGUUGAAAAUUGGAAUAAUACUAUUCGAAGUUGCCUCUCCGGCGAGCUAGCUAGCAGUGUCAUGCCAAUGUCGCAGAAGCAGACAGACGCUUUCAUAGCAGCUUCUCUAUGGAAGUACUUUUCGUCUAAUGCAUGGAAUUUUAUCAGAGUUUUCGUCACUGACUAAAGCUCUAUAAUUCCAAAGAAAAGUCAAUGGAUUUGCAAAUAUAAAAUCAAACUAUAUGUAUAUAUAGAUAUACAUCACAUGCCACACAACACCACCGCCAUUCACGUCGAUCCUUACCAGCUUGCCUUUCCAUCUGACAUAUAUAUAUAUAUAUAUAUAUACCCAAUAAUACUAAUAAUAAUCCAAUAUAAAAUUCUAUUCCUGUUGCCUUCCUGUCCCAGCUCCCUGUCCAGCUCAUUUCGUCUGUAUUAUUAUUAUUAAUUUUCCAAAUCUAAUAUCAGGAAAAAAAAAUGGACGCUUUUGCUGCUUUGUUUCGAGGCAAGACUUUCGUUGUUUCUCCUCUCUCUGGUAUGUUAGUCAUCUCCUAUUUCUUCUGUGGCCAAGUUGGGAACGGUGUAAUUGUUACGUUGCUUCUUGUGAUUAGCUGUCUGUUGCAUGUUACUUUUGGAAAAGUAAAAACUGAACGCUUCGUGCUUUUGCAGUUCUUGCUUCAUUAAUUAAUUAAGUUAUGGACAUUCACCGUCUAGAUUGAUUCGGUAUUGGUUUGAUCUCUUCCACGCUGAUUUUUAAAAUGUUGUGACCGAGGACUGUUUGGUAUGAGCGUAUUGCAAUUGGGGCUACAACUUUUAAGUUACUAUAAAUAUUUGAUAAAAUUUCAUUUAAAUUAUAUUUAUAUUUGUGGAAAUAGUACUAUAAAAAAUUCACGUAAUUGUCAAGUUGGAUCAUGAAUUAUAAAGAAAAAUGCCAAAUAAUUCAUCCAUGGAUGUAUUCCAUCAUGAAUAAGAAAUCUCUGGUGAUAUGAUCUUUUAUACAAUCAAAUAAAUACAACAAUGUAAUUGAUAAUUGAUAAAUAAGAAUAUAAUAAAUAAGUAAAUUUUAGAUAAAAUAUAUGCCGGUUAAGAGAUCAUUUAAAUCUACUAACUUUUCCACUUUGAAUGUAUGCAUAUUAAAAUCCACAACUUUUAUACAUGAUAAAUUUUUUUUGGACGAAUUUACAAGUUACAACAGCAUCGAUAGAUCACCCUAUAUAUUAUUUAUGGGAACCUGUAAAACACAAAUAUUAGAAGCAUAUAUAUGCUGAAUCAUUGAGAAGGAUAUAUGCUGUAAAUUACCUCUAGCUAGUAAUUCCAUUUUGUAUUUGCCUAAUUACUUAGUUGCAUGCGAUUCUCUUGUACUCUCCAUGCAUUUUUUCUCAGUUGUAUCAUUUGCAGAUUUGGAUGCUGCUAUAGCCAAACAUCUAUAUUCAUUGCAACAUUGCAAAAUUCUUCACCUGGUUUGCAACACUUUGACCUUUAAUUUUGAUAUUUAAUUAAUUGAUUUCACCUAGGCUACUUUACUUAGAUAGUAACUAAUUUCAGGUAAGGCACGGACAAGGGGUCCACAAUAUGGAAGGAAAUAAUGGCCCAGAAGCCUUAUUAUCUCAAGAAUUUUUUGAUGCACAGCUUUCACCUCUAGGGUGGCGGCAGGUGGAUAAUUUGCGGAAACGAGUUGAAGCAAGUGGACUUGCCCGAAAGAUUGAUUUAGUCAUCACAUCCCCAUUGUUAAGGUUAUUAUUGAUUUAAGUUAUAUUAUGACUUGAAACAAAAGAUCAGCAGUCAGCAGCUAGCACUGGAUUGUGUCUUGUGGUUAGCUAGCUUAUAUAUGGUUUGUUAAUAAUGGGGGUUGCAGAACUUUGCAAACAGCGGUUGGAGUUUUCGGUGGGGAUGGUCAAAGCCAGACGGAUGGGAUCGAUGCGCAUCCAUCUCUGACGGCAACAACAACUGUUAACUGCCCACCAAUUGUAGGGGUUGAGCUUUGCCGAGAACGUUUGGUGCGUACGUUAGCUUUAAAUUGGUAUGUGCACUAGAAUCAACUUCCAUCACACAUGUAUAAUUCUGCUCACAGCCGCGUCAUCUGCUGCAUGCAGGGGGUUCAUCCAUGUGACAAGAGAAGAAGCAUCAGUGAGUAUCGGUCUCUUUUCCGAGCAAUCGACUUUAAAUUGGCAAGUACCUGAGCUGUUAUCAUCCAAUUCUCCAAUCCAUAGAAUUGAGUUAAGAAGAAUCUCUUAGUCGGUAUCACAAGUUUGUUCCUUACAAGUAAAUUUUGUUUUCUAUUGUUUUGUUCAGAUAGAAAGUGAAGAUGACAAGUUGUGGAAAGCUGACACAAGAGAGCCCUUCGAAGAGGUUGCAGCAAGGGGAAUAGAGUUCAUGAAAUGGUGGCUUACUUUUUUUUUAUGUUUAUUUUUGUUUUUUUUUUAAUUUUUAAGUAACAUGAUCAAGGGCGCCAUGAAACUAAUAGCUCUCCUAUCAUACGUAUAGGUUGUGGACUCGACAAGAGAAGGAGAUUGCAGUUGUCAGCCAUGGGAUAUUCUUGCAGCAAACUCUGAAUGCACUUCUAAACGAUUGUCAAGCAUCAUUCAACCAAGAACUAUGCCCACGGUCAGUCAGCUGUAACUGUAUUUUCGAUAAUUUUUUUUUUGCUCCUAUUGCAACUUCAAUAAAAAGACAAUUAUUUUUUUAACCCUCAACUGUUGUUUGUAUAAUAUGUGCUUUAGGUUUACAAAUUGUGAAAUACGGUCGGUGGUCAUCAUCGACAGGAGGUGAGCAUUAGAUUCACACGACACAUUCAUUCUAACAUGACACAUGCAUUCUAUUCUUACUAUAAACUAUGCUCAACAUUUUUAUUUUUAUUUUUUUUAUUUUUUUCCUAAAUCUGCAGCAUAACGGGUUCAUGUUAUCCUGAAACUAUAUCCGGCGAGCUUCGUCUUCAUGGGGAUGCAAAUAUUCCGAGUGAAGAAGUAUCCAAUUAAUUGGCUACUAAUAUCGAUUUGAAACCACAAUGUUUUUAACUACGUACGACUCCACGAGCUACUAAUAUCCAUCAAUAUGCGCGUGCGGCUUCCCACAAAAAGACAAGACUACUCCUAAUCAAGAAUUCUACAAUAUUUUUAACUCUUCAAAUGACUAAAUGAGGGGUUUUUUGUUAGUGUUGCAAAUAAUAAAAUAUACCUACCUUACCGCACAUUGUGUUCUUCCACCACAAUUCAACAAAAUUUCUAAGUCAAAAAACAAUUAAAUGUUCUGAUUUUUUUUUAUACUUAAAAAAAAAUGAACCAUUUGAUUACUGAAAAAGAUUUUGCUUAGUGAGCUAGUGUUUCUUAGCAAUAAGCACAAAUACUACCAGAAUAGAAAGCAGCAGAAAAAAACAGCUGCCAUGAUGUUGAAAUUAGCAGCCUUUACGAGUCUUUUCCUUUCUUCUUUCAAUUCCCUUCCUCUCUUGCGAAGAGCUAGAUCUGAAAUUGAAAAGGACUACUACAUCCCAAAAAGUUUUGCUAAUUAUCGAGGGUGCUUUUAUUUCAGUGUCCAAGUUUAAUGAGGAGUCAUUAAGAGCUUCCAUGGACAUUAACUCAACACAAUGUUCUCUAAGAGCCUAACGUAGCAUGAAAAACGCAAAUCGAAAAAAGCACUUAAAGCAAUGAAUAAGAACAAGUCUUUAUUAUUUUAAUUAUUUUAAAAUUUAAAAAAGAUUUGGAUAAGGAUGGGAAACCUCAACCCCCAAACACCAACUCUUGUCCUUUCAUCGUACCAGAAAUUAUUGAAGUUAGUUUUUGAAAGAAGAGAGAAAUAGAGUUCAUAUUAUUAUUUUAGAAAUACAAAGCUCAAGUGUUUCGGAUGGUUGAAGGUAGUCAUAUAAAUAUGUAUCUGCCAACCAAGGCACAAAAACUCUUCAUGGAAAUGAAAGACGACAUGUUUUAUAAUAUUAACAAUGUAGUUAAUGAUAAAGUUGAUAAUCUCAAAAUAGUUGAAGGCUUCAACCAACAAAAAGAAUUACAUGAUUCAAAAUUUGCAAGCACACCUUCUACAGAUGUAUCAUUUAAGAAUGGUAGAAGCAACUCAACUUCAUGCAAACCAUCUAUUGAGCAGGGCUCAUCAUUAACAACCUAAAAUUACAUACAAUGUAAAGGAAACUCCUCAUUGUAAGUCAGUAUGGAAAGAAUGCAGUGUAAGACAAUUCUCAUUGAAAUUAUUGGGAAUUAUUAACUAAAUUGAAUACAAAUUGUAAAAAUUUCUCGUAAUAUGGAUGCAUUUUAUAAGCCUUAAUUUGAAUUCUUUACGAGAUUGUAGAAAAUGAUUUCUAGUAGUUCCUAGAGUUAUUCUUUCAUAGUGAACAUGAAUUAGGCUCACCACAACAAAUUAGAAUGAAUAGUAGAAAGUAAACUGCUUACAAAAUUUCCACUACAAUAGCUUUUGCACCUCUGAGCUCAUUAGCAUGAACUAAAAUUCUUUGGUGGAGAAUGUCACUAAAUGUUUGGACAUUUGAUGCACCCACAAGCCUUAUCGGUAGUCUACUAGAAUGUGGGAAACAUCAAAUUACUAUUAAUUCAAAGAUUAAUGAACUCUCAAAACUCAAUUGGUGCACCAAACAUGACUAUAUUUAUGUCAAUUAUGAUGAAAGCUCUUAAGCGCCAAUGCAAAUACAGUAAAACCUCUUUAUAGUUAUAAUGUUAGGACUAAACUAAUUUUAUUACUAUGCGAAAGUUACAACAAACUAGAGAUAUAGUUUAAAAAAAAAUAUUGUUUUGGACUUAGUUAUCCCUAAUACAAUGGGAAUGCAGUUUAUGAAAUGGUGACUUACCUUUUUAGUGUUUAUUUUUGUUUUUAUCUUUUUUAUUUUUAAGUAACAUGAUUAAGGGCGCCAUGAAACUAAUAGCUCUCUUAUCAUACGUAUAGUUGUUGGACUUGACAAGAGAAGAAGAUUGCAAUUGUCAGCCAUGGCAUAUUCUUGCAGCAAACUCUGAAUGCAAUUCUAACGACUGUCAAACAUCCUUCAGCCAAGAACUAUGCCCACGGUCGGUCAUCUAUAACUGCAUUUUCGAUAAACUUUUUUUUGUUUGCUCCUAUUGCAAAUUCAAUCAAAAUGAAUUAUUUUUUUAACCUUCAAAUGUUGUCUGUAUAAUAUGUGCUUUAGGUUUACAAAUUGUGAAAUACGGUCGGUGGUCAUAAUUAACAGGAGGUGAGCAUUAGACCCACACGACAUAUUCAUUCUAAUAUGACGCAUGCAUUCUAUUCUUACUAUAAAUUGUGCUCAAUAUUUUUUAUUUUAUUUUCUUUUUUUCCUAAAUCUGCAGCAUAGCCGGUUCAUGUUAUCCCGGAACUAUAUCGGGUGAGCUUCGUCUUCCUUGGGAUGCUGCAAAAGAGAGUAUUCAUAUCAAGUGAAGAAGUGUCCAAUUAAAAAUGUAAAAUACUCCAACUACUAUGAAACCCGAGCAAGUGUAAAAAAAAAUUGAAGAAGAAAUAUAUCCUCUAACUUAGGCUAUAGUCGUGUAUUUUUGUAAGUUACAUGACUUUUGUCAUAUAUGUAUAAAUUUACACCACUGCAGUCAUGCAAGUGUGAAAAAUAUAGUAGCUGUUAUAACGCAUAACAUUCUAUUAGUGUAAAGAAUAUAUUAUUUUUACUAAAUAUAUCAUUUGACUGUUUACUGGACUAUAGUUGUGUAUUUUAGCAAGUUACACAACUGUUAUCAUGUAAACGAGCAAUUACACGACUGUAAUCGUGUACAUGGGCAGACAGUUCCACACUUUGUUUUAUGCCUUGUUUGAUUUUGCUUUUGUAUUUAUUGUAUCAUUACACAAAAUGACUUCAAUACAUGUGCCUAUUAUGUUUUGUGGUAAAAUGAAUUAAGUAAAACAGCUAUUUUAGAUUUAAUGGUAUAAAGGCAAUAAGGAUCAUGGUGCCCCAUUCUAUAACAUAUGCACAAUUGAUAGAAAUAAUAUUUAGGUUUAUUUUCAUGGAUUUUUUUUUGAAUUUGACAUUAAAAUGAAGUUGAAGCUUAAAACAUUCGAUCUAAUGUCGUUCGUUCCAAUUUUGACUGAUGAUGAUGUAAAUUAUUUUCUAAAGGAGACGAUUAGUAGAGUUGAGUUGAACAAUUCUCUUUGUAUUACCUACAAACGAAAAUAGAUUUUAAAGACACUUAUUCCUGAUGUUGACAUUAACUUUAAGCCAGAUAGUUGUCCACAAGAACCCGUUGAGUUAUAUGUUGGAGGUGAAUGUUUAAGUCGAAAUAAUUUUGUUGCUAAAGAUUAACCAGAAUUCAAAUUUGUUCUUAAAACACAACCUAAUGAUAGAAGGGUGCCAAAUUUAGAAAAUGUGAAUGUUAUUGUUCUUGAUGAUUUUGAUGGGAUAAUAGUUAGUAAUCAACAGUCGAGAAUGUAGCACCUUGCAAUAUGAGUUUCCAUUCCUCUAAUAGUAUAUAUAUGCUUGUAGUCAAUUUGUUUGCAUGCAGCAAUUCAUUAAAUAACGAUAACUCGCAUUCGAAUAGUAAUAACUUGCCAUCCAUGAGAGUUGUUGGUAAUAAUGAUAUGUUAAUGGUGAAAAAGUUGUUCGAUUCGUAAGAGGAGUUACAAGAAGUUCUUUCUAUGGAAGCUUUAAGGAGAAAUUUUAAGUUUAAAACCUUUAAGGCAUGGAAGAACAUACUUCUUGUUAGAUGUAGUGACAGUAAUUGUAAGUGGUAACUUCGUGCUACCAAGCUUGAAAGUUUGAAUAUGUUUGAAAUUAGAAGGUAUUAUAGCAUUCAUACUUCUGCACUUGAUGUUCGUAAGAGAGAUCAUCGUCAUACUUUAUUCAUACUUCAUCUUCAUAGAGGCCUAGUGAGAUUAGAGAAGAAUUUCAGAAACAGUUUGAGUAUAAAAUAAUUCAUUACAAAGUAUGGGAAGCAAAAGAAUAUGCAAUAGAGAAAGUUAGAGGCACGCUUGAGGAUUCAUUCAAAUUACUAUCUUCCUAUAUGGUAAUGUUGAAGAAGAAAAUUUUAGAUACAUGUAUAUUUCUUAAAGUUGACAAUGUAAAUAACUUUGAAUAUUUCUUUAUAGCAGUUGGAAGCUAUGUACAUGGAUUCAUUUCAUCAAUAAGGUCAGUCAUUGCAAUUGAUAGUAUAUUCUUAAAGGGAAAAUUAAAAAAAAAACUUUAUUCUUUGUGACAGCACUUGAUGAUAACAAUCAAUUUUAUCAUGUUGCAUGUAGUAUCAGUGACAGUGUGAACGAUGCUUCAUAGGGGUGGUUUAUAAAAACUUUAAAGGAAGCAAUAUGUGAAAUUCUUAAUUUGGUUUUCAUUUUUGACCGGCACCCAAGUAUGAAGAAAAAUGUUAACAUUGCAUUCCUAUAAUCUGUAUAUGAUAUUUGUACGCACCAUUUGAAGUGAAAUUUAUGUGCUAAAUUUAAAGAAAUUGGGCUAAAUACAAUUGUUAAACUAGUUGUAAAGGCCUAUCGAUCACAACAAUUUAACUAUUUUACGAAUAAGAUACAAAAGGUCAAUGAAAGAUUGCAAAAUAUUUUUAUGAUGUAAGAUAUGAGAAAUGAGCUUGUUCUCAUUUUGAUGGGUUGCAUUAUAGUUCUAUGACAACCAACGUAACAUAAUCCAUGAACUCUAUCCUUAAAAAUUCCCGAGAAUUGCCCAUUCAUAAGUUAUUGGAUUUGAUCAUUGAUAAACUACAAGAGUGAUUUUGUGAUAGGCGAAAAGAGACAAUUAAUUGUCACACUCGACUGACAAAAUGGACUGAAAAAGAAGUUGUUCAGAAAAUUAGAGGAUUCCUGUACAUAUAAAGUGGUGGCACUAAAUAUGUAUGAAUUUAUUAUUAAAGAUGUUGACCUUGAUAGUCAUGUCAAUAUUCUUGACAAGAUAUAUAAUUGCCGGGAAUUUCAACUCGAUCAACUACCUUAUGAACAUGUAUUAGCUGUAUGUAUGUGCCAACAAAUAUUGCUUGCAUAUGAUGUGUGCUCAUAUUACUAUUCCAGUGAAGCUUGAGUUGCAAUAUAAGCAGAAAUAAUCUAUCUUGUUGGUGCGCAAGAAGAAUGGUAGGUUUCAUAGGAAGUGCACAAUAAUAAGAUUUUACCCCUUAUAGAAAAGCAGAAAAUAGUCGUCCACAAGAAAUUAAAAUAGCAUUAUAAGGUGAGGAGAAGUUAUGUUGUAAGUGUGGUAGGUGCGAUUAUAUAAGACAUUAAUUCCACUGUCUGACAAUAAACUUGUAAUUGGACUGAAUAAAACAAAAGCAUGCAUGUGCAGUAGCAACUUUUGUUCACUUAAAACUUAUUUAUAAUUCUAACAUGUGUUGGGCCUAUGUUUUUUGAUGUAGAAAAGCUUUCGUUAUUUGAUGUAUUGAAGUUUGAUGUGUUACAUUGAUUGUGUUGUUUAUCAAGUACGUUGAUUGUGUUAUCAUUUUCAUGAGUGCUUUAGGUAGCUUUUAUUCCUUAUCCACGUACUCGACUAACGUCGUAUAUUUAUGAAGUUACUUUAUUGUUGUCGUGUAUCGAUGAAGUUUACUCGACUAUAGCCAUUUAUUAAAAGAUGAAUCAUUGAUAUGUAACUGAUGGGUAAUGAUUUAUAAAUGUCAAAUGAUUAAGAAUAAUUGGUGUAUCUAUGAAGAUACUCGACUAUAGUCACAUGUAUCUAGAAAGAGACUCGACUGUAGUCAUGUAUCUAUGAAGGUACUGGACUGUAAUCGUGAACUUAGGUUGAACAUUCGUUCAAUGUUUAUGAUUGUCCUGUUAUAUUACAUAUAUGAUGCAAAACUACCUUCUAUUCUUUCAAUAAUAAACUUAACAAAAAAUAAAGCUUAUAUAUAAUGCAAAACUAUAUUUAAUUACAUCAAAUGUCAAUUGCAUCAAAUGUCAAUUGCAUCUCUAUUGUAACUGUUACAUAUGACAAUAAUUUAUCCAAAAAAUGGAAAAAUCAUUGUAAUAAAGUUCUUAAGGGUAUGACACUAGGUCGUUGGUUUCCACAACCUAUGUCCAAAUAAUUUGACAUACAAUGCUUUUCGAUAACAUCACCGUGUUGGCAAUAUGUGUUGACAUCAAGGCCAUGGGCUAGAAUCUCCAAGUACCGUAACAAAAAUGCUCUACAGUCACCACUAAGAAAAUUCAUAUAUAUCAAUAAUAAAAUCACCAUUUUAAUUAAAAAAAUAAAUAAUGUGCUCAAUUGUAUACCUUGAUUUUUGUUGCGGGAUAUUUCGUACUCGCAAGAUGGGCCAAUGGACUUUUGAUAUGACAUCAGCACAAUUUGGAUGUGUUUUGUGAUAUGAUAUAUUUUGAAAUAGUAGAGGUAUCGUGUCUACAACAUGUAGCAAUUGUUUGACCAAACUUUAAUCUUUUGUCGUCUAUUAUAGAGUCAUAAACAUUAAUCUUACCCGUAGAUAUAUCGACCACCCCAAAAUCCAAUGCUUAUUCAUAAGUAUCGACAAAUAUACCUGUAUGGUUUGGGCAAUAUUUUAGGAACUAAAUGCCACAUAAUAUAAAAAAGAAUGUCAAACUCACUGUCGAAACACUUUUAUAAACAGUGGUGCAGUUUAAUUUCGCACCAUUAGUGUAAUCAAUGCAAUAGCUCCCCUUUUCUGACAUCUUAUCCGGGUUUUCCAUGUACAAUAUAUCAUCUCUUAUUAUUUUUAGAGGUUAAGGAAAAUGUAUGCAAAAUUAAUCAUACUAGAAAAUUGUUGUCCAUAAUGGCAUAAAAUUAUAUGUUUGGAGUCGUAGCCCAGGACAUAUCUUUUCUUAAGUAGUAUCAUGCAAUGUCGAUAUGCUGAAUAUAAAAUGUGAAUUUUUAUUUAGAAAAUAGCAAAUAUUUAUCAAAAAAAUGAUAAAAAAAAGUUGUGCUAAAUAACUUAUAAAAUUAGAUAACCACGUGUCUGGUGUAUAUAAUUUAUGAAAAAAUUCUCUACCAAUAUCCAUAAUAGUCAAAUUGAUAACUUUCAUGUAUAGAUAAAUGACAAUAACUAAAUGUGUUAAAUAAAUAUACAUUAUAAUAAUAAAAAAUAAAAAGUUAAUAUCAUAAUAUGAGAUAACUUACGACUCUUGUUUUAUCAUUGGCGAAAUCCAUCCAUCGCUGCAGCUCCAGUAAUUCCUCUCGGGGUAUAAGGGGAUGCACUUGAAAGUCUAUUGUCUUUUGAGGGUGCACCUCAACAUCUGUUGUUUCUCGCGACUUCUUUAAGGGAAUGGAGUACAAUGUCCGUAAGUAAGUCAAAGUUUUUGUUUCUCUUCUCUUCCGUAAAUUAUAUACUAAUCUACAAUCUUUUCUUUGCGUUUAGAUGACAAUUAGAUCCCUUCUGUACCAUGACAAUUAUCUAGCAUUUUUAAUAGGAGUGUAUCAUUUUUUGUACUACAAAGGUUGACGAAUGUGUCCAAUGGUUGUUAUAUUGGUGAGCCAAAUGUGACGUCCAUAGGAUCAUUUACAGGCCACAGACAUAACAACUAAAUUGUUUGAGAAUUUAACAAACACACAUACUCAAUGAACAAAUAUUGACAGUUUUAUAUAUCAAACCACAUUACCAUAAGUAAAUUGUCUGCCUAAUAAAUUUAUUACAUUAAAUAGAAAGAUUACGGUAAAGAUGAAUGAGCUCCCUUGAAAUCACUCCAUUUCAACAAACAUGCAAGUCAAAAUUUAGAACUAUCAAAUUUCAUAUGCGCAGCUAGUGAGCUAGCACACCAAAAUAUACGUUCUAGCUAGUCUAAGGGAAUACAACAGAAAAAUUUACAAUUUGAUUUUUGUAAGUUUGUGGUCGUAAAAAAGAGAUAAAGUUCGCUGAGUUAUUAACUAGACCCAUUCAUCCAAUUAGUCAUGUACACAAAUGUUAUGGCAUGUAAAUGCAAAGCUCUAUUUAAGAUUGCUUGAAAUAAAAAUCAAGAAAAAUAAUGUCAAAUGGCAGAUGGAAAAUUCUUAAAUUCUUUUUCUUAGAACGAAUAUUAGCAGAUAUGGUUUCGUAAAUUUCAAAGCCUAAUACUAUUAGUAAAACAAGCUAAAUUGCCAAGACACCCAAUAGUCCUUGUAAUUAAAGAGAUUAAAGAACAAUUAUUGUUACUUAAUCACAUUGCAAAUUAAACAUGUAUUCUUAAUAUCAAAACAAAAUGCAAAAGGAAAACAGCUGACCAAAGGUCCCAUAUGAUUAAUAGAAAACUACUGACUGCAUACCCAAUCAAAGGACCAGCAGUGGAGCAAAAUCCACAAAGACUCUAAAGUAAAACCAUGAAGUCGUAGUAGGAUAAUCGUUGUCAGAGUUGGCCUUACCUAAUAGCCCAUUAGAACGACACUUUAUUCUUUGUUUUCUGUUUCGACUAGUAAUCUUCAAGUAGGUUGGAAUCAGGGGAAAUUUUGGUAUGGUGUACGGUGGUCGUGAGUGAUAAAUUGUGCGUUGUGUAUUCAAGUUGUGAAUAAUUUUAAAGAAUUAGGUUUUGAGUUACGGUAAUUCGGUAAUUGCAUAUAAAAAAAGCAUAUAUGAGGAAUUUUGAAGUAUAAAAGUGUAUUUAGAUAAAUAUCCUACUUUUAGGGUAUGUCACAAAUAAAUACCUAACAUAUAUACCUACACAAGUAAGCUCGCUCAUCCACCCUACUGUACACAUACUAAUCACUAACUUUUAUUGAGAUAGCACAAUAGUACUGCAGGAUUAGGUACCUCCUAGGAUUAUAACCAAUGUGUAUAGGCAGCCUUCAUCUGAAACAAUCUCCAAAAUAGGCGCAGCUUUGGCAACUACAUUUACUGUCCACAAAGUAGCAUUAAAAUGUUAAAUCACUAGAAAAUAUAGCAUAAUGAUACCCAAAAAAAAAACAUAUAUUACCAAGCAUUUUUUUUAAAUAACAAAGACUUUCGCUAAAAUUUACGGUAUUAGCCUCCUUAAGUUUAUGCUAUAUAUGUUGUUGCCUCUUAAUUUUGUUAUUUCUCAAUUAUGACCCCACUAGGCACUGGCAUUGCAUCAUUUGCAUUAGCUCAAAAUUCUCUAGAAAAAGUAAUGUACCCGGCAAAGCUCCUUUUUGAAACUGUAAAUGCUCCUCUUGAUUGUUGAGGAUAUUGCAUAUUUAGUAUAUUUCCCUCCAGUCUUAUUUUCUUGUUGAAUAAAAUGCAUACGGACAUCUAAUGCACACAUUGGUAAGCAGCUAUUGCAGAUUUUAUAUCAAAUCUAUUCCUUACAAUUUCCUUGCCUUUUCUCAUUUCAAUUGUUCCAGGUUGUGGACGCGGAAAGAGAAGGAGAUUGCAGUUGCUACUCAUAGUGGAUUCUUAUAUCAUACCCUGAAGUGCUUUUGGAAAUGAUUGCCAUCCAUCUAUAAAGAGUGAAAUACGCACACAGUAAGUGUUACCCUCAUUUGUUCAUCUGCAAUUGUCUGUAAACAGCUUGAAACGUUACCAUUUAUAUAUAUAUAUAUAUAUAUUGUUUUGAAGGAAUUUUAUUAAACCUGAGUGUUGAACUUCGUGCUUGAUGUGCUAUUUUAAGCUAUUUGGUUGGUGCCUCACUCUCCUCGAUUCUGCUGAUUCCUCAUUCACUUUUUAAGCCAUCUCCUAAUAACUUCUUACUGCAAGACAUGUUUUGAAACUGCUGGUUCAUUUCGUAAGACUGGUAGCUGGAUAUGACUUUCUUUGCUUUUCGUUAUGUGCCUGUUUUCUGUUGAGCUCAAAGUUUUUCAUUUAUAAUUUUGUAAAAUUCUGGAUGGCAAAUAAUGGUAGCUUUGAAUUAACCAGAUGGCCAGUUUCUGUUUUUAAGUAUUCUUCUGAGGUACGGUUUUUAUCUUAAAUUAGUCAUCUGGGGUAGUAAAAUUAGAUGGCUCUGUUCCAGGCGUGGGUUCUAGUCACCCCAGGAGAUUGAAUAACCUCUUCAAUGUUAUUCCUUGUAGCAAUUACCAGCUGAAAAAUUGAUAGUAGGGGAAACUUAAAUUUGAGGCAAAGAUUAAACAUAUCUCACUGGUUUUAUACAUAAAUAUAUGUUGAUUUGGCUCAACUACUUGCUAGUAUGCUUUCUGCUAUCUGUCUGCAGCUUUGCUAAUUGCGAACUUCCCUCAAUGGUUAUUGUUGAUAGAAGGUGAGCAGGUUAAGUAUAUAAUUUCUUGAGAACUUGCUGUCCAGCCUAUGCACAACUCAUGUUUUCCAACUGUUGUUGCAAAAUAAUAAACUUAUCUUUUUUGUUGCAGCAUGAUUGGCUCAGAUGCGCCAACAACAAACCACCCAGGAAAGAUUCCUAGCGGUGUUGAUCUUCCUAGUGAUGUUGCUGCUGAGAAGCAUCCGAAGCAAGGAGCAUCUCAGUAAUCAUAGCCUGGGCAUGGGGUGAUACAUUGAUCGAACUGGAUUAUGAAUAUGAUGAUAUCAAGAACUUCAAGUGAAUCACUGAAAUAGCAAUAUUAUCAAACUAAAAAGAUUUUAUGAGCUUGCAAGCUCAGUUACCCAUUGUCAAGAUUCUUUCUUGGUAUAGGCGAUGCGUUAAGUUUUUAAGACUAGGCGCCUAUUCUUAAUAGGAUGUAUGAAAAUGAAUUAUAUGUUAACUCAAAGAGACAAGAACCUUAGAUCAUUCUUCUGAUUAUUUUGCUCGUGAAGAAUAAUUCCAUCAAGAUUUGCAUCAUCUUGACGUUUCCUUUUUAUAUGCACUUAUUUAUUUAUUUCCAUCUUUCCCUAUUACCUCGAUUUUAAUCGGUCAUUUCGUACAUUCUUAUAUAUAUUGUGAGUACCAUUGGGAACAGUUGCUGCUAAGUCUUGAGUACCAUUAGGCAUGGGGUAGAAAUAAACAUGAAUAAAUCAAUUGAUCUACGUAAUUGCCAAGAAUAAUCAUUUCAAGUUUCAAGUUCAAAGUCCAAGGAAAUAUCUUUCUUUUGAAUCUGUUCAAACUUCAAACCAACCAAAGAUGGUGAGAGUCACAAAGGAAGAAAAAAAGCAAUGGAGACCCCGAUUUAAAUAUAUGUUAAUUGAGACUAUGGGGAAUAGAGGUUUGUCUGUUGCAUGAAUUAAGAUGCAGAAAAUAUUAAACACGCUUUCAGAAAAUUCUCAAUAUAGGUCUCAGGAAUUUGGUCCAGCGAUUACGUUGAAGGCACAAAAUAACGAAUCAAAGCUGAUAAAAGUAAAAAUCAAAGUAAACCCACCCAUCUCACACUUCAUUUAUUAUAUAUAUGUUGCUCACAGCAUUUAUUGUCCUCCCAUACUCAAUUGUGUCGUAAAACAUUUUCCCAAUUCCAUUUCAAUACUACUAGUACGAAUCUUUAACUUGUUUCUAGCCAACGCUCUUUUCAUUUCUCAUCAAUUUUUGACACACGACUUUGCAGAAAUGGUGACUGCCCAGGCUCAGUUUCUGUACUCACCGAACAAUUGCAAAAUUCUACACAUGGUGAGGCACGGUCAAGGGGUUCACAAUGUAGAAGCAGAGAAGAAUAUUGAUGCAUUAUUGUCUCCAGAGCUGUUUGAUUCACCAAUCUCAGCAUUGGGUUGGCAGCAGGUUGCUGAUCUCGGCAAGUACGUUCAUGCAACCGGACUCUUAAAGCGGAUUGACUUGGUCGUCACUUCCCCUUUGUUAAGGUCGAAUCAUUAUCAUCACAUACAUCGCCCCAAUUUCAUUUUUUAAUCGCAUGCCUCACCCAAGUGUUUGAACUCCCGCGUGGUCAGCUAAGUAAUGCUGCUUCAAAACCACGCAGGCGAAAUAUAAUGGCUUAACUAACAAUUGUAUGUUUGGAAUUUGGCAGGACCAUGCAAACAGCAGUUGGAGUGUUUGGUAGCGAAGGAGCAGAUGCAGGAUGGAAGUCAAAUUGCCCACCCAUUGUAGCUCACGAGCUUUGUCGAGAUCGUUUGGUAUUAAUUGUUUACUUGCAUUACAAUUAAUUAACAAAAGUCUAGCUUAUACACACACACACACACACACACACACACAUGUGCGUGCGUGUACAUACACACACCAAUUUUGUUCGGAUUUAAUUAAUUAAUUGAUUAAUUUUUUUCAUCAGGGCCUUCGUCCAUGUGAUCAAAGGAGAAGCGUGAGUGAGUGUCGGUCUCUUUUCCCAGAAAUCGACUUUUCACUGGCAAGUGUAUUAUACUUUACCGAUGAAUUAAUCAAUUAAUGUUGUUAUGUUUUGAAUAUCAUCCACGUUAAUUAAUUAUAAAAUUAUCAAUUAAUCCGUAACUUUUAUUAUUUAUUUAUUUAUUAAUGCAGAUGGAGAGUGAAGAAGAUGGUAUGUGGUAUCCUGAAGCCAGAGAGCCUUAUGAAGAUAUCGAAGCCAGGGGAAUUGAGUUUCUCAAAUGGUGAUUGAAUUUGAACAUCAUCACAUGCAUAUGCAUAUAUGCAUUAAUUUUUCUUUUUUUUCUAUCAAUUAAUUAAUUAAUAUUAAGAAUGAAAUUAGUUAACAAAUUUAAGCUGGGCCGAUUAUUAAUUAAUUUACAUGUACAGGCUGUGGACACGGCCGGAAAAGGAGAUAGCAAUUGUGAGCCAUGGGGUAGUGUUGCAACAUUUUCUCUAUGUUUUAGAAAAUGACAGUGCUGACCCGUCCGUGAAAACUGGUUUGUGCAGACGGUAUGUACAACUACGGGUACCAGCACUCAUUCAUAUUGGCUUCCUCUGCUUUAGCCUUUUGGCUUGACUUUAUAACUUUGACCAAAUCCAAAAAUCACUUGUAUUUUUUUAUCUAGCUAAGCUACUUUCCACAUUGGUGGCUGACUGCAUAUGCUUAAUUAAUGUUGUUAAUUAAUUAAUUAAUUCUGUAAGCAUGAAUAAUCUUUUCUUUCUUUUUUGAUGUGCAUGCACUCAGCUUUAACAAUUGUGAGCUUCGUUCUGUUGUCGUCGUCAACAAAGGGUACGUCAGCUUGUCAUUUGCAACAAAUAUGAAUCACUGCUCUGAAAUCUAUCCGUCUAAUUAUACCCAAAAGGCUCACCCUUUACUUAAUUAAAUUUGCAGGAUGAUGGACUCAGAUUAUAUUUCCUCGGCAACUAAUUAAGUAAUAAUCUACUUUGCAUCAACUCCUUCUUGCGGUUAAGUGGUCCGCCAGCUUCCCAACUCAACGAUGACGUGACUAUAAAUUGUUUCAUUUAUUCAUUUUUUUUCCUUUUUUUCAUUGGGAUUCUCUCUCACUCUCCGUCCAACCCAAGGAUACCCAAGGAUAGAUGAUACGACGACCAGAUAUAAAUUGCUUCAUUUAUUCAUUCGUUUUAUUAUUUUCUAUAAGGACUUUGUAUCCAAUUGAAUACUUUAUUUGUUGUUAAUAAGAUGGCGUCAUACUCUUUUAUGUAAUGAAUCCUUCAAAUUUUAUAAGCACUUUGUUGCGGACCGCCUAAGUUGCUAGCCCAAUUACCCAUAAUUUUGGGAAAACUUGCUAGCUUAGUCUUUCUUUUUCCAUCUUUGUUCCAAUAUUUAUUCAUUCGUUUUUUCUAUCACGUUAACACUAAAGCCUAAUAAUUAUGUGUUAAUAAAAUUAACUUAUAGUACUAACUCUUUUUUGAGUUAUCACAACUCUCAAAGCGUUUAUAUGUAUGUUGAAACCUUGUCCAUUGUUAUCCUUAACUAUUUUGUAUCUCAACUUAUAUGUGUUUUAAUUAUGGGAUAACAAAAUCAAGCAUUGCUACUAAUAAGUGUCAUGCUAGUAUAAUAGACUUAUAAAGGUUGUGUUAGGUAAGUAACAAAAAUUGGCUUGAAAGCAAGAGAAUUUUAAAAAUGACAGUUACAUUUUAUUUUUAUUUUUAAUUACCAGCUCUUCAUGCUGCGUUAGUUGAAUCUUAGUACCUUAAAAUUAUUCCUUUACGUCUCUCCAUAAACUCAAGGAUCUGGAAUUGAUAUUAAGUUGGAGGAGCUUUAAUUCUCAACAACCAAAAAAAAAAAAAGAAAAAGAAAAAGGACGAAGCUUUUGCUCAAAUAUCAAUUACUUGGUCAUGAUGCAUAAUAUAUUUCAAUAUAAAUUUAUCAUUUAAUGGAUAUAUGACAUCAUUUAUGAUUAGGAGCAAAGCGAGAAUUUUUUUUAGUUAGGUCAUGUUGAAAUUAUUUAAUUUAGUCAAGGUAUUAAUAAUUUAUAUAAUUUUUAAUAUAGUUUUUACAAUUUUCGUUAAGAUUUGAUGUAGUACCAUUUAAUCAAACAUUUUAUUGGGAGUUAUAUGGAAGAAAGAAUAGCAAAAAUACUCUCAUGAAUAACAUUACAUUAAAUUGUCAUAUUAGAUUGAAAAUUCAACUUGAGAUAAUUAUAUUAUAAAUCAAAAUAUUUAAUGAGGAGAAGAAAAAAAAUUCAAGCAUAUACUAUGUGUUAAUUAAUUUUCUUGUCGUUAAAGUUAAAAUGUAAAUACAUCUCAAAAGGAAAAAAUUACAAUUUAGCCAAAAAUUAGGACAGGAUACAAUUCGGCCCAACCAACAAUAGCUUUGCUGCAGGGCCGCAGGUUAUGAUAAAAUCUUUUGGAAAAUUAGUAAACACUUACUUUUUUUUUUUACAUUCAUAUCACAAUCAGAGUAUGUCAUAUUAUAUGAGACUAUUACUGAUAUUAAUAAAUUAAAUUAUUAUUGAAAUAAAUUUACACUAAAUUUUAUGAAGUAUUGCCCAAAUAUUUUUUUAUCCUUCCUAAUAUUUAAAGGACAUUAACUCCACUCAUAUUCAAACUAUUACUGUGAUAAGUUUAUAUUAAAUCCCAUAAAGCACUGCCCAAAUUUUGUAUCUUUUCUAAUAUUUGAGGGAUGUCUACUCCACUCGUAUUUAGUAAGAGAGAAAAUUAUCUCCACUUAAUUAUUUAAUAAUUGAGAAAGGAUUGGAAUCUCCUAUAAUGUUUUUAUGAAGGGUUGAACUGUGGAGCAACUGCUCUAACCUCUCAGCCUUAGCUUGUAAACGCUUACCUAUACUAACAUUAAAUAAUUUUUUAUUUUUAAUUGACAAUACUAUCCGAAAUCUCUUUUUGCGAGACAAAAAAUUAGAUAUGUUCAAUUUCAAGAUGAAGCAAGUAACACCGAAAACAUAAAUUACAAAAGUCGCGUAUACAUUUUCUUUUUUAUGGGUUUAGUUUUAAAUUAGUUAAUUAUUAAUUUAUACAGUGAGUAGGUCUUUUGAAAAAAAAUAUGAAUUAUUAAAAAUUUAUUAUCUUAUAAAUUUAUCAAAUUAUUAAUUUACGAUGAUAAGAAUUGUAAUUUAAUUAAGACAAUCAAUUUAUUGAAUAUUAAUUUUAUACCGUAGAACUUCAAUGGAUUAAUACUUAAUAAAUUAUGAUAAAGACUUAAAAGCAACCUUGGUAUCACGUUGUUGGAAGACUUUUAAAGUCAGUAACGGAAAGAGAUUUGUAUGGUGUCAAUUCCAAUUCCUAUUUUAAGACAUGGAAAUUAAUGGAAUCAUGCGAGUAACACAAAAUAAGUCCAGCAAAAGCUCCUUCCAUGCAAUUACAGGAAUUUAGGUUGGAAAUUUAAUACGUGUUUACAAUUCCAUGCUUACAAAUUAAUGGUGCAUGAACGUUACAGCUGGCAGCUGGAUUUUGGAUCUUUUGUUGUAUGCCUCUGUACUGUUUACGAGACCUGUUCCACUUAAGAAAUUAAUCCAUCUUACAAGUCAAGCUGCGGAAGCCAAGCAGUUCCGAGAGAUAUAAUGAAAAUAGUGUUGAUGAAUCCAUUAAUCAAUUAUUUAUUCCAUGUAUAUUUUUAUUUGUUAAGAAAACUCCUCCCUGCCAAAUCCAUUUGCAUUGGCCUUAAAUUGACUUCCUGCCAACUAAAAUAUUACAGUAAUAACACAUUGGCGAAUUAUUAAUUACAAAAUGCAAAGUUGGAAAUGAGUUGAAAAUUGGAAUAAUAAUAUUUGUAAUUGUCUCUCUAGCCAGGUAGCUAGCAGUGUCAUGGCAAUGUCGCAGAAGCAGGCGGACGCUUUCAUAGAAGCUUCUCUGUGGAAGUACUUUUCGUCCAAUGCAUGGAAUUUAUCAGAGUUUUUGUCUCCGACUAAAGCUCUCCAAUUCCAAAGAAAAGUCAACUCAUUUGUAAAUAUCAAAUCAAACUAUAUGUGUAUAUAGAUAUACAUCAUAUGCCACACAACACCACCACCAUCGACAUCGAUCCUUCCCAGCUUUGCUUUCUAUUUGACAUAUAUACAUAUAUAUAUUUAUAUUUAUAUAUCCACUAAUAAUAACAAUCCAAUAUAAAAUUCUCUUCCGGUUGCCUUCCUGUCCCAGCUCCCUCUCCCGCUCGUUUCGUCUGUGUUAUUAUUAUUAUUAAUUUUUUUUUCCAAAUCUAAUAUCUGGAAAAAAAAAAAAUGGAUGCUUUUGCUGCUUUAUUUCGAGGCAAGACUUUCGUUGUUUCUCCUCUCUCUGGUAUGUUAGUUAUCUCCUAUUUCUUCUGCGGCCAGUUGGGAAGCGUAUAAUUGUUAUGUUGCUUCUUCUGAUUAGCCAUCUGUUGCAUGUUACUUUGCAAGGUGCUUUUGCAGUUCUUGCUUAAUUAAUUAACAUAAGAUAUGGACAUUCACGGUCUAGAUUGACUCGGUACCGGUUUGAUCUCUUCCAUGCUAAUUUUUUAAAAUGUUGCGAUUGAGGACUGUUUGGUAUUAGCUUAUCCGUAUUGCAGUUGGGUAACUAUAACUUUUAAACUACAACAAAUAUUUGAUAAAAUUUCAUUUAAAUUAUAUUUAUAUUUGUGGUAAUAGUACUACCAAAAAGCCAAGCCAUUGUCAAGGAAGUUGGAUUAUGAAUUAUGGGAAAAAAAUACCAAGUAAUUCAUUCGUGGAUGUAUUCCAUUCCGAAUAAGAAAUUUCUGGUGAUACAAUUUUUUGUGCAAGCAAAUAAAUACGAUAACAUGAUUGAUUGAUGAUAAGAAUAUAGUAAAUAAGUAAAUUUUAGACAAAAAUGUAUAUGCGUCAAGAGAUCAUUUAAAUCUACCAACCUUUUACCUUUGAUGGCAUACUUGUAUACAUGGUAAAUUCUUUUUGGAAAAAUUUACAAUGACAUUCAUGGAUCACCCUAUAUAUUAUUUAUGGGAACUUGUAAAACACAGAUUAGAAGCGUAUAUAUGCUGCAUCAUUGAGUACGAUAUAUGCUGUAAAUUACCUCUAGCUAGUAAUUCCAUUUUGUAUUUGCCUAAUUACUUAGUUGCAUGCGAUACUCUUGUACUCUCCUUGCAUUGUUUCUCAGUUGUAUCAUUUGCAGCUCUGGAUGCCGCUACAGCUAAACAUCUAUAUUCAUUGCAACAUUGCAAGAUUCUUCACCUGGUUUGCAGCAUUUUGACCUUUUUAUUUUGAUAUUUAAUUUAUUGAUUUCACCUAGGCUGCUUUAUUUAGAUAGUAAUUACUUGCAGGUAAGGCACGGACAAGGGGUCCACAAUAUGGAAGGAAAUAAUGGUCCUGAAGCCUUAUUAUCUCAAGAAUUUUUUGAUGCACAUCUUUCACCUCUGGGGUGGCAGCAGGUGGGUAAUUUGCGGAAACGAGUUGAAGCAAGUGGACUUACCCAAAAGAUUGAUUUGGUCAUCACAUCCCCAUUGUUAAGGUUAUUAUUGAUUUAAGUUAGUAAUUAUUUUAUUAUGACUUGAAACAAAACAUCAGCAGUCGGCGGCUAGCACUGGCUUGUUUCUUGUGGGUAGCUAGCUUACAUAUGGUUUGCUGAUAAUGGGGGGUUGCAGAACUUUGCAAACAGCAGUUGGAGUUUUCGGUGGGGAUGGUGAAAGCCAAACGGAUGGGAUCGAUGCGCAUCCGUCUCUGACGGCAACAGCAACUGUUAACUGCCCACCAAUUAUAGCAGUUGAGCUUUGCCGAGAACGUUUGGUACGUGUGUUACCUAAUGCCUGUAGUGUGCACAAGAAUCAAGAUGGCUACCACAUGACUGCCCCUUAUGGGAGUUUCAACUUUCAACACACAUGUAUAAUUCUGCUCACAGCCGCGUCGUCUUCUGCAUGCAGGGGGUUCAUCCAUGUGACAAGAGAAGAAGCAUCAGCGAGUAUCACUCUCUUUUCCCAGCAAUCGACUUUAAAUUGGCAAGUAGCUGAACCAUUAUCAUUCAAUUCCCCAAUCCACAGAAUUGAGUUAAGAAGAAUCUUUUAGUUGGUAUCACAAGCUUCUUCCUUACACGUAAAUUUUGUUUUGUUUUGAUUUGUUCAGAUAGAAAGUGAAGAUGACAAGUUAUGGAAAGCUGACGCAAGAGAGCCAUUCGAAGAAGUUACAGCAAGGGGAAUGGAGUUUAUGAAAUGGUGACUUACUGUUUUUUUUUUAAUAUUUUUAAGUACCAUAAUCUAAGGCGGCAUGAAACUUAUAGCCCUCGUAUCUAUGUACAGGUUGUGGACUCGACAGGAGAAAGAGAUUGCAGUCGUCAGCCAUGGCAUAUUCUUGCAGCAAACUCUCAAUGCACUUCUAAACGACUGUCAAACAUCCCCCAACCAAGAAUUAUGCCCACGGUCGGCUAGCACUAACUAUAUUUUCAAUAAUUUUUUAUUUUUUUAUUUGCUCCUUUUGCAAAUUCAAUCAUAAACAAUUGUUUUUAAACCCUCAACUGUUGUCUGUAUAAUAUGUGCUUUAGGUUUACAAAUUGUGAAAUACGAUCGGUGGUCAUCGUCGACCAGAGGUGAGCAUUAGACCCGCACGACACAUUCAUUCUAAUAUGAUGCAUGCAUUCUAUUCUUACUAUAAAAUAUGCUCAACAUUUUUAUUUGUUUUCUUUUUUUCUUUCUAAAUCUAAAGCAUAAGGGGUUCAUGUUAUCCUGGAACUAUAUCCGGCGAGCUUCGUCUUCCUGCAGAUGUAGCAAAAGAGAAUAUUCCGAGAGAAGAAGUAUCCAAUUAACAUUAUGAUUUCAUUGAAAUCAUAAUGUUUUUUACUACGACUCCACGACCUUCUAAUACCUAUCAAUAUGCGCGUGCAGCUUCCCACAAAAAGUAAGUUGUUUGAUUAUUUCUGCACCCUACUCCUAAUCAAGAACUCUACAAUGUUUCUGACUCGUAAAAUGCGGGGCUUUUUGUCACUGUUGCAAAUAAUAAAAUAUACCUACCUUACUGUACAUUGUGUUCUUCCUCCCUAAUUCAACAAAAUUUCUAAAGAAAUUUUUUUUUUUGGGUACUUUAAAGAAAAAAAAUUGAACCAUAUGAUUAAUGAAAAAGAUUUUGCUUGGUGAGCUAGAGUUUCUUAGCAAUAAGCACAAAUCCUACCAGAAUAGAAAGCAGCAGGAAAAAAACAGCUGCCAUGAUGUUGAAAUUAGCAGUCUUCACAGGAUAUUCGGUCUUUUCCUUACUCGUUUCAAUUCCCUUGCUCGCUGACGAAGAGCUAGAUCCUCCUGAACUGAAAGGGACUACUACAUCCCAAAAAGAUUUACUGAUUACUGAGGGUGCUUCUACUUCAACAUCCAGGAUUGAUGAGGAAUCACUAAGAGCUUCCAUGGACAUCAACUCAACACAAUGUUCUUUAAGAACCUAACGUAGCAUGAAAAACACAAAUCAAAACAAGCACUUGAAGCUGAGUAAAAUCAGUCUUUAUUAUUUUAAAUUUUUUUAGAAUUUAAAAAAGGCUUGUAUGAGGAUGGGAAACCUCAACCCCAAACACCAACUCUUGUCCUUUCAUCUUUCCAGAAAUUAUUGAAGUUAGUCUUAAAAAGAAGAGAGAAAGAGAGUUCAUAUUAUUGUUUUAGAAAUACAAACCUCAAGUGUUUCGGAUGGUUGAAGGUAGUCACAGAUAUAUGUAUCCGCCAACCAAGGCACAAAAACUCUUCGUGGAAAUGAAAGACCGCAUGUUUUCCUAAUUUCAAUUCAACAGUGAACUAGUAAUCAGUACUGAUAAAUCAUGUUCCAGCAACAGCAUCAGAGACAACUUACAAACUUGAGCCUAAAAAAUGGAAAUACAGGUUUUUAUGAGACAAGCAUGCUCAGGAUGCAAGAAACAAUAAAGUUGUAUGAAAAUUAAAGGAAGCUUCCCAAGAAGGCAUUAAAAAAAUGCAGGAAUCCUAUAUGAACUACCAGUGACUAAAUCUGGACCAUUAGACAUAUGUAUAUGUACUCAAAUAAAACAAACAGCAAAACAUAAAUAUUGCAGCUAAAACACCUCAGUGAAUGCAGGAUAAGUUUGGAAACAGGUUUCUCAUUGCUUGCUUCCUCACCACCACCGGCAGUUGGAGCCAGAUCUUCAUCAACCUCAUCGCAAAUAACAUCUAACCUACUUUGCAGACUCAUGAUGAUAUCACCCUGAGAACAGAAAAGCAGUCCGUGAUUGAAUGAGAGAUUAAGAACCAUGAUAAUAAACAAGAACAAGAAUAAUUGACUUCAGUUCUCUCUACAAACUAACAAGCUAGCUUUUGCAAACAUGCCAUAUACCAAUGGGGUUGGCAAAUACACAUACAUGUGUUCAAAUGUAGACACACACACAAAAGUAGAAAAUUUGAACUUGAAAACACACAAAACAUGAAAGAUGGUGAAUUCCACCAAUCUUACUCAGUUCAUGCGAAAUACCAGUGAGAAAAAAGUUGAUAUAAUAACAUUAGUACAGUUUUCUCCAAUGCUUGUGAAGACCAAAGCAUGCAUAAAGUUUCCAUUUUGAAGUAACAAUAAAGCCAAAGCUGAAAAUGAUGUGAUACCUUUAUUUCAGAAAAAGCCUGAGAAAUGGGUUCUUUUGGUGUCAAGAAUGCAAAAGAACACACGGAGCCACUUAAGAUGAGAAGACCAACUACAUCUUUCUGGCUGCAUGCUUUACAAUAUUAACAAUACAGUUAAUGAUGAAGUUGAUAAUCUCAAAACAAUUCAAGGCUUAAAGGAACAAAAAGAAUUACAUUAUUCAAAAUUUGCAAGCACACCUUCUGCAGAUGUAUCAUUCAAUAGCGGUAGAAGCAACUCAACUUCAUGCAAACCAUCUGUUGAGCAGGGCUCAUCAUUAACAACCUAAAAUUGCAUAAAAUGCAGAGUAAACUCCUCACUGUUAGUCAGUAUGGAAAGAAUGCUGUAUAAGACAAUUCUCAUUGAAACUAUUGGAAAUUAUUAAUUAAAUUGAAUACAAAUUGUAAAGGGUCUCGUAAUAUGGAUGCAUUUUAUAAGCUCUAAUUUGAAUUCUUUGCGAGAUUAAAGAAAAUGGUUUCUAAUAGUUUCUAUAGUUAUUCUUCCAUGGCGAACAUGAAUUAGGCUCACCACAACAAAAUUAGAAUGAAUAGCAGAAAGUGAAGUGCUUACAAAAUUUCCAUCUACAACAGCUUUUGCACCUCUAAGCUCAUUAGCAUGAACUGAAAUUCCUUGGCGAAGAAUGUCACUAAAUGUUUGGGUAUUUGAUGCACCCACAAGCCUUAUCGGCAGUCUGCAAGAAUGUGGGAAACAUCAAAUGACAAUUAGUCCAAAGAUUAAUGAACUCUCCAAACUCAACUAGUGCAGCAAACGUGACUAAACUUACAGCAGUUACAAUGAAAGAUCUCAAGCACCAACGCAAAUAUAGUAAAACCUCUCUAUAGUCAGAAUGUUCAAACCAAAUUAAUUUUAUUAUUAUGAGGAAGUUACAACUAAAUAGAGAUGUACCUAUACAAAAAUUAUUGUUUUGAUCUAGUUAUCCUUAAUGCAAGUGAUAUAGAGGUAAAGUAUGCGCUACAUUGAUAAUUCAUUAAGAGCAUGUCAAAUACAAUGUAUAGACACUGACAAAAGAGAUAUGCAAAGUCAUCUUAAAAGUCUAAAGAAUAAAUCAUUGUGCAAAAUAACUAUAUAAAAAAUAUUUUUAUUUCAUCUUAAACCUUUAAUUUAACAUAGUAUUAUGCAGAGACAAGUUCCUUAAGGCGGGAUCUAGAAGCCUUAUAACUUAUUAUAAUGUGGAGUUUAUUCUUAUUUACAAUUGGUCCAAAUUGGGACCAUAAAUUUUUAUGACUACACGAAAGUUAUUCUUAUAUAGUGUAUCACUAUAGAGAGGUUUAUCUAUAACAUCUUUAGCGUGCUUAUAAAAAGUAGAGUUAUUAGACAUCACAUGCUAAUGUUGGAAUAGUAAAAGAGUAAAUGAGUAAGAAACGAUGCAUUUACCUAAGACUGAAGUUGUAUGUGCACUUAAAAGUUCGAAGUGUUUUUAAGACCAGUCCUGUUUUGAGAUCACAGGGUCUUAGGCAGCUUGAUGUAAUAUUAGAAGUUAUCGUGCAAUUCCGACAUGUAUACCUACACAAGUAAGCUCGCUUAUCAGCCUUACUGUACACAUACUAAUCACUAACGUCUAUUAAGAUAGCACAACACGACUGCAGAAUUGGGUACCUCCUAGGACUAUAACCAAUGUGUACAAGCAGCCUUUCGUCUGAAUCAAUCUCCAAAAUAGGCACAGCUUUCGCAGCUGCAUUUACUGUCUGCAAAGUAGAAUGAAACAUAACGACCGCGUAUUACCGAAAUUUUUUUUAAAAAAAAAUAACCAUGCGUUACCCAGCAAUUUUUAAAAAAUAAAAAUAAAAAAGGCUUUCGCUAAAAUUUACUGCAUUAGCCCCCUUAAGUUUAUGUUAUAUAUGUUAUUGCCUCUUAAUUUUGCUAUUUCUCAAUUAUAAUUUCCACUGCGCACAGGCAUUGCAUAAUUUGCAUUACCUCAAAAUUCUGAAGAAAAAGUAAUGUACCUGGCAAAGCUCGAUGGUAGAAUUUUUGAAGGCGGAAUCGGUAGCCCAAACAUAAAUGCCAACGACCUUGAUACCUCCCAAUAGCAUUCUGGAAACCUGGCGCGCAUGUUCGGCGAUCCAAUCCUUGUCGAUGACCAAGGAAAUAGAAUCGGAAGGCUGAGACUUUGAUUUGGAGGGCGGCUUUUUCUUGUCGUCUUUGGAGACCGAACAAGCUGCCUCUCCGGCGUCGUUUUGAGGGGUGGGGAUGAAGUCGAAUAUAAAGCCUCGGUCUAGGGUGGGGCUUAACUUGCCGAUCAACAGUCCCACCUGUCAAUUUUAAUCAAAAUUAAUCAAAUCUCCAAAUUUUAGAAUUGUUAAAAGAAGAAGAAGCGGAAGAAGCGGACCUGAGCAGAGAGACCGGAUUGAGAGAGGCGAUCCUCGGCUGAUAAGAGUUGAGGUUUCUCUACGACGACGGUAUUAACCAUCGUUAUUGGCUCGCUCAAUUGAAUUCUUUUCUCAAUCGAGUCGAGACAUUUUGGCGACUGUUAAAGAAGCUGUUGAGUUGAGGUCUGGGCUUGGAAGAAGAACCGUCGUUUGGGCUUAAUGUUGGGCCUUGUUGGGCUCGUGUGGUUCAGCCCUCGAGCGAUAGAAACUUGAUUGGUUUCAAUUAAUUUUUCCCAAAUCCCGCUCCCUCUUUGAGAUGUAAGUGAAAAAUUAGUCUUUUUGCAAGAACAAAAUUUGGUAUUAUAAGUUUUUUUAUUUAUUACUUUCAAAUUAGUAUAGAUUCACAAAUAAACAUAGAACUCCCUUCAAAUCCGUUUCAUUUGAGGUUUCAUAGAUGUUAAAUGGCCAAGAUAAAGUAGGCGGUAGGAAGUGGGAAGUUGACGCCACAAGCACAAGUGGUGCUGCGAAAACGCAAUUUCCAGCAAAUGUGGCGCCUCUAAUCUUUAAUUAAACGAUGUCGGUUGGCGUAGGACUGUUAUGCCCAUGACGCUCUGAGUCUCUGACCGUCCGUUACUGAUACCAAUUAGGCAAUUAGCAUCACACAUCCACAUGCGGUUUCUUGUUUAAAUCCCGAAUGUCACGACAUCGGCGGCCAGAGGUCGAUCAUUACUUAAUUUUGUUAACUUUUGAUUUUGUUUUUAAAAUUGCACGCCCGCUCUGCUCUGUUGGCGUAACAAUUAAUUAAUUUUUAUGUUCUAAAUUUAGAUCGUGUUUUAUCACAUGGAAUGAAAUACAGUGGGCUUGCUGCUGGAGUCAUCUACGGCGGGUCAAUUAAUUAUGAAUUACCAAGUUGACACAUGCAUUUUUUAGUAGAUCAAAGUGUGGUGUUAAUUAAUGACUUUUAUACCAGCUCAGACACAGCCGGAAAAAUCCCAAAAUUCACUGUUGACCCCCUUUCUUUACACUUUACAAGAGAUUCUCUUCGACAUUUGCACCCUCUCACUCCCACUAUCCACCAUCUAAAAUUUUUGUAUUAUAGCUGUUUUUCGCCAUAUUUUUUUAUCCCCCCCAGGUUUCAUUGUUGAGCAGCACACUGGAUUGGAAGAGAUAAAUUAUACUAAAAUAUAUGUUUUUAAUUUUAUUUUAAACUAUUAAAUAUUUACAAUUAAAUGAUUAAUAGAAGAGCAAUGAAAAUUUAAAUUGAAAAUUUUGAUAGAAUAUUAACAAAAAUAAUAAUACACUCAUCUCAUGUAUUUUGUUAAUUGAAUUAACAGAAUAAAUUAGACAAAAAAAAAUUACAUAUUUCUAUUUCUUCAUUAUUUCUCACAGUAGUCCACAUAUCUGAAAUUGGAGCAAAUAAUAUUUUGAAAAACACCAACAAUAUUGGUCACUAAAUAAAUGAGGCAUAAUUUAGAAAUUAAAAUAUGAAACUCUUCUUCUAUGUGUUUACAGAUAAUUACAAGUUCUUUAAUACUUUCCUACAUUAAAGCAACUAUCAAUCACAUUCCAACCUGAUCUUUUUGCAAAUUGCAAGCCUAAAUAAAAAAUAUCAAUGAUUGAUCUAUCAACUCGUAGAGUCUAGAUGAUGAAUAAAAAAAUAAAAUAAAAAUAAUGCCCCAUUAAUCAAUAAUAUAAAAAAAUAAAAUAAAAUUUAUGAUUAUAAAAGUCUUCCUCCCACGUCUCGUCGUUAUUUUACUUCUUAAUCAAUCCACCAAGGAGGUCCCACACAGCAUCCCCAUACGUUACCAGCUUCCCACAAGAAUAAAAAGACAGCAACUUCAAUUAUCCCCUCCUUCUCGCGCAACUGGUACUACGUCGUUUCAACCGUAAAAUGGUUUUUCUCAGCCUCACAGUUUCCCACAAACCCUAACCGCCAAAACCCGCCCUCUACCCUCUUCCCUCUCCCGCUUCCUCUCUCCAUCGCCAGUCAUCAACAAUGGAAAACUAUUCGUACUCUUCUUACCCUGAUUCCGGCGACUCCUCGCCACGCUCCCGGGAAAUCGACUGCGAGAACCAGUCAUGGGACGAGCCACUCGCCAACUACAAAGUCAAGUUCAUGUGCAGUUAUGGCGGCAAAAUCCAGCCCCGACAACACGACAACCAACUCGCUUACGUCGGCGGCGAUACCAAAAUCCUAGCCGUUGAACGAAACAUCAAGUUCAGUACCAUGAUGGCCAAGCUCUCCGCUCUCUGUAGCGAUGAUAACAUCUGUUUCAAGUACCAGCUGCCCGGAGAAGACCUUGACGCGCUGAUCUCCGUCACUAACGACGAGGAUCUCGAGCACAUGAUGUUGGAAUACGACCGCUUGUACCGGGCGUCGGCUAAACCGGCGAGGUUGAGGCUGUUUCUGUUCGCAUUGAAUCCGAAAUCGUCGCCUGCCGUGACCGAACCGAAGUCCGAGCGUCAGUGGUUUGUGGAUGCGUUGAAUUCCGUUCAGAUCCAAACUCUAGAAGGUUCUUCACCUUCAGCAGCGGCAGUUUCGGCGGCGAAUCCAGAUUUCUUGUUCGGAUUUGAUAAGCCGAAAUUGGUUGAAACGGCGGCGGUUCCACCGGAGGUAGUGGGUAAGGAUGUGACCGCGGGAUCAGAUUGUGGAUCGGAGGAUCGUCACGUGAUUGGUGAUCCCGUAAUAGAGACUCAAAGGCAAGAAUUGCAGAGAUUGAACAUCAGUGGUCUCGAGCAAGCUAACCAAAUCCCAAGGGUAAGUUACGCCGGAGCCGGACAGAAAAUGACGCCUCCGCCGCCAGGGGCAAUUCCUAUGCCGAUGCAAAUGCAGAUUCCUGCAGCUUCUUAUUUACCGGAACGGCAGGUGACCGCUGGCACUUAUCAAACGGAGCAGCAGCCUGUUUAUUACUUGCAUGCUGCUCCUGGCACUGGUGGUUUGUAUUCAGCUCCGUCAACGCGACCGCCAGCUAGUCAAGCUUAUUACGGAGUGCAGAGGAUCGUACAGGAACAGCCUAUGUACAAUUUAGUACCGGCGUCAGCACCAGCACCCGGUUCCAUUCAGCAGCAGCAGCCUAAAAUUGGGGGUUAUAGUGAAGGGGUUGGGGUUGUGCAAGUGGGGUAUGAUGGCGCAGGAAGACAGGUGUACUACACGACAACAACAGCCGCCGCAGGUCCGCCAGCAGGUGGGAUGAUGGCUCAAUACCAGGCAUUGAAUCAGGAGGGUAAGGUUGUGGUAAAUGCUAAGCCUCCUCAGACAAGUUCUGUUUGAUUUCAGUUAUCAUAUCGUCAUUAUAUUUGCUUUUGUUUUUCAUAUUUUAUUUGUUGUUAAAUAAGAAGAAAAAACAAACAUUUUAUAUAGGUUGAAUGUUGAAUUGUUAAUGUUAUCAGUGGUUUGAAAUUAUCGUGUAAAUGCGAAUUCUUGUUAUUGAGACUGUAAAUUGGAUGAUUAUUUGAUUACUUUAUUUGCAAAUGGAGAAUUUGGGAAGGUUUGUUCAGCAACAACUCUCAUGUGAUUUUCUUGCCAGAUCUCCAUUCUCCAAUGUCUUCUGAAUUUCAGUUUGAUGUAUUUGCUGGGUGCAUUGUUGCCUCUGUAUUUGUUUUUAUUUUAUUUUUUAUUUUUUAAAAAGAAUAGCUGAAAGGGAGAUGCCCUUGGGAUGGCCAUUACUUGUUUCCUCUGAUGGCUGAGUUUUUUUCUCAAGUGCACAUGCUCAGGGCAUCUGCUUUGGGAAUCUUGCAUUUGUUGUUAUUUUUGCAGGCAGUUACUCUUGCAUGCGCUCCCUCUCUCUCUGGUUUUUUGACUUCUUGAACUUUAAUUGCUCUCUUAUCCCAUUGCAAACCUUUGCUCUAUGCACCCUAAUUUUUCUUAGGAGAUUUAAUUGUUGGCUCAGGUCAAAUAUCUUAAAAUUUGCUAGACUAUUGAAAGACUUGUUUAAUAUUUUCCUCAGCCGUACAAGAGUUCUCUGUAAUGUUGGUGCCCGUUUCUAGAUAAGUUAAACGAAUAAGAGAUUCCUAUCAAGAAAAUAAAUAAAUGAAUAAGAAAUGAAUGGUGCAAAAACUUUUUGGAACAUUCUCAUAAAUUUAGGAUGCUGUUGCGGAUUUUUUUUCUUUUUUCUUUUUUCUUCUUUUUGUUGUUCCUGGUCAUCCAACCUCAACGGAACAAUCUAAGUGUGGAACAAAUUCGUAGUUAUUUGGAGCUUUACUAAGAGAAGAUAAUUGAAGUGCAGGCUCAAAGCAAAACUUAUAUUGAAAGAAAGCAGAGAAAGUCAUCGUUGGUUCGACUAUAAUAACUUCAUAAUCUUCUGCAGGCAACGGCAGAAUUAUUCGGUGCAGUAGCUUAUUUAGAUAGUUACCUUACAUUGAAGGCUUAAUAUAUAGCAUAAAUGUCACAGAUUUUAUGCUAGUGACUUCUCAGGAGGAGCAGCCACCACUGCAAUUGCUGCAACCAAAACACCCGCCACGAGGCCCACAAAUUGCACUCUUAACAAUAUUUCCGUGCUUGUAGUCACAAAUUGCGCGUUCGUCUUUAACCGUCUCGUUUUCGCUGGUUGGUCUUUAGCCUAGGGAUUGCUCUUAUUCCAAUGGAGCGAUUCACAGUCUCCAAGUUGUAAGCACCUUGCAGCCAGAGCUGCGUCACUGCAGUUCACAUACCCUCCGCAAGGACUAGAACAACUACUCUUCAUAUUCACGUGCUCAUGAUUACAUACAAAUCUUCCAGCCGCUGCAUCUUCCCCAGCCACUUCAUUCUAGACGGUACAGCAGAAGAAAGUGAAAAAAGCCGCUAAAAUUGCAGGCCGCAAUAGCCAUUUUUCAUUGAUCUGUCCGUCAAGCAUAGGAAAUUUCGAAUGCAAGUUAGUAUCAUAUUAUUCCGAAAAGCUUUUGAUUAACAGAUGACGACAAUAAUAACAAUAAUAAUAAAUUGCCUACCUUUACAGAGCCAGACUUCAAGUUCAGCAAUAUCACAGCUCUUCCACAAGGAUUCUCCACAGAGAACUCAACAGCUGUCAUAAAGUUCUGUUCAGAUUGCCGCUUCUCUCAGUGUUCUACUUCAUAUUCUAGCGUUUCUACCAGCAAAAAUAAUCACCUGAGCAGGAAAUACGAUUUAGAUUUAUUGAUAAAAUAUGAGAAAACGCCUGCACUUUGUGCCGGAUGGAGUAACGCCGUCAUUUUCAUUCGAUUUUCUUUGAAGUUGAAACAACCAGAGUUCAUCGAAGACCAUCCUUUUCCAUAGAACUCUGCCAGCACAAGUGUUUCGGCAGAUUUGGUGAUGUCACUCACUCUACACUGGUUGAAUCCCUGAGAUGAACAACAAAGAAUCAGAAGAAUGAGUGCCAAAAUUCAUUUGUUUACACUUCAUGCAGUCAUCGUGUGAGAAUAACAAACUAGUGGAAUGUGCAAGCAUGCAAAUGGGAAGGGUAAACAGAACCCAGAAUUUCACAAUACAGGAAAAGGAACAUUUGGGGGCAUUAACUGAAUUAGGCUGACUUCUCAACUCUGAGAUCAGUAUAUUCUCAUCUAGGUAUCCUCUUUGUGUCUUUUGAGUUCUGUUUACCUCAUGCAGAGAUUGAUGACCUCAUUACAGGCCUCAUCCACCACACAUGCCCAAUCUUUAGAAUGUCUUGGAAUCAGGCGUAGCACAUAUGGUGCUGGAACAGGAGAAGCGAAACCGAGUGCAAUGCAUAGAUUGAUAGGUCUCAAACCCACAAAUCCAGAACCAUUUCUCUGUCGAGACUGCAGAGAUUGGGUUCACAAGGUCUAGUAGAGAUAUCGAGAUAGUCCCAAUGAUUUUUCUGGCCUCACUACAGGAAAAGCUGGAAGUGACUGUGAAAUGAGUUCAAAAACAAGCUCUCCAAUUGGUUCACAUUCGAAAACAGCAACAUUCUUCUCCCGUCUCCGACAUAACGCUUAGUUUUCUCUGGUAUUGAAGAGGAAGUCUGGUUGUCCCUUACUUCAGAUGACAAAAAGGAUUCCCUUGUGCCCAGAUGGUAAGUCUUUUACUGCAACUAUCGCCACCAUAAUCUGAUGAAUUCGGAGCCAAAAAUUUAGAACUUUUAGAGGUUAGAACCAAAUACCUUUGGCAGAUAGAUAGGCCAAUAGAUGCACUUGGACUAGAAGUUUGGGCUUUUCAAUAACAAUAAAUUAAUAAUUGAAAGAAAAUGUAAUAUUAAUUACUGAACUAGAUCUUAGGGUAUUAGAAAUUUUUUUUUAAUACUUAGCAGCAGCAACAACAACAAUUAAUUUUUCUUAAGAAUUAACUUAAUUAUUAACUUAAACUUAUAUAUAAUCAUAAAUCAUAUUUUAUAAUAACAUUAAUACAUCUCAUGAUAUUUAUAAUUUUAUUUCUUAAAAUCAUGAUACCAUCUAUUGGUUUAAUAAAUUAUAAACGUAAAAUAAUUAGAAUAUUUUUUUAAACUAAAAAUUAAAUGAAUUUAAAAAAUAUAUAUAUACUAAUAAAAUACAUUAAAAAAUUUAAUUUUAAAUUAUUUAUAAAAUUAUUAUAUUUUAAAUUUAUAUUUUAUUAAAAAGUAAAACUUACUUAUUAUAGGUAUUUUCAUGAGUUGUAUUUUAAUCCAUCUCUAUUGUACUGUACUUUUAAGGCCAAAUGUCUAAAAUUCUCAAUUUAGUCCAGCCCGCGUCGUGUUGUGUCACGUCGCAAAUACUAUCAACACGUGUUAACGUCAUGUCGAGUGCCCGUAUCAUGACACGUACUGCCCCAUAAGCAUCUCUUCUUUGGUCCCCUCAAUAUAAGGGUAAUUUUUAAAAACCUCCCCUGAGGUUUGGACUUGUUGCAAGUAGAUGGCGAGAAUUGAUUUAUUUGUAAAAAACCCCCUACCGUCAGUUAAGUUUAACAUUGACCGUUAGUUGACCGUGCAAAGACAAUAUUACCCUUAACAAUAGUUUAUAAACGAAAAUAACUAUAAAAAAAAACCAAAAUUAUUAGCUAUUUUACACUUUUUAAAUUAUUGAUAUUUUCUUAAAGUUCUUAUAAAAAAUUAAAAUUAAAAAAUUAAAAAAUCCUCUUUAAAUUAUUGAUAUUUCCUUAAAAUUCCUACAAGAAAGAUAAAAUUAAAAAUUUAAAAAUGAAAUAGUCAUAAUCUUUACCUAUGAUAUUGUAAAUUUUUAGAAUUGACAAGGAUAAAAUUGUCAAAAAAUAGGGUUUGUGCUUUUUGCACCAAUAAUUUUGGUUUUUUUUUAGUUAUUUUCGUUUACAAACUAUUGUUGAGGGUAAUAUUGUCUUUGUACGGUCAACUAACGGUCAAUGUUAAACUUAACUGACGGUAGGGGGUUUUUUAUAAAUAAAUCAAUUCUCGCCAUCUACUUGCAACAAGUCCAAACCUCAGGGGAGGUUUUUAAAAAUUACCCUCAAUAUAAUGAAAAGGUCUUUACGAUAAUAUUAUUUUUUAUUUUUUAUACAAAAGUGGUAGAGGAGUUGAAAUUAAUCAAGUGGGUGUGGAGAGUGGGCCCGGCGCUCCACUUAGCUAAGAGUUGUAAUUGUUGGAUUACGGGUUGGCACAAACUACAAAUAGACAUCCACUUUUUCUUUUUAUUGACAAACCAUAUUGAAAAACAAAAAUGGCAAAUUGCCGUUUUACAUUCGAUUCUUUGCCCUGAUAAUUAAAGGCCAGUUGCCACGAUGCUUAUCUUUAGUAUUCAAGUCAUGGUGCAUAAUUACAAUGUAAUCAAAGAUUAGAACAUCUAUGGAAUAGACUUGCAAAAAUCUUCAGACAAAAACGAUAACAUGGGAGGGCUACAUGUCGGAUCAGAGGACGGAGGUGCAUGUUUAAGCUACUAUUACAAAACACUGUGACAAUGAUAUGACGCACCAUAGGUCAAGGUCAGUGUCUAUACAAAUUUCUUUUUUUGAAAAAAAAGAAAAAAGAAAAGAAAAGAGGAUGAUCUGUCACCAAUGAAAUGAAGGAAAGUAAAAACCUGGGCAGUCAGCGCACACUAAACAAUUUAAUUGGUCAAUUAAAUUGCAUCCAUUGCAUCAAAUAGCUAAUGCCUUAAUGGUAUCUGAUGUCUUAUCCCACCUAACCUAAUCCCUCCAAACCAAACCAAAUCAAACCAAAAAAAGCUUCCUCAAUUCAAAUUCUCUCUUUUAUUUAUUUUUUUAUUUUUUGCAAAAAAUAAAAAAUAAAAUUUCCAUAGUCCCAUUUAUCUUAAAUUCAGACCAAAAGAGAAGAAGAUUGUCUGAAGAAAAUAUUGAGAAAAAAAAAAAGAAUAGUAUUCGGACCACCCAAUCCAGUCCCUUUUCUUUUCUGCCGCUUUAGGCACCUGUCCUGUAAUUGAUAAAUAUAUUAUUCAUCAGAGACAAUCAAAUAAAAUCAAAUCGCGUAUAUAUAUAUCGCUAAUAAUUUAAUUUAAACAUACAUAAAGGUGAAGCUUCCCAUUUACAUUCGAUUUGAUAUCAGAUACGCACACUGUGCCAAAACAAGAAUGCUGAGAUUGAUUGAGUGAGUUCUGAAGAAGAAGAACAAAGUUGUUAGCUGCUGCUGCUGCAAAUUAAGAAGCGAAAAGAAAAAAGAGGAGAAAAUAAAUAAAAAUGGUGGUUCGAAAAGUGGGGAAGUACGAGGUGGGGAGGACGAUCGGAGAAGGAACAUUCGCGAAGGUGAAGUUCGCGCAAAACACGGAGACAGGUGAAAGUGUUGCUAUGAAAGUUCUCGAUCGAAGUGCUAUUAUCAAACACAAGAUGGCCGAUCAGGUUUCUCUUCUCUUCUUUCUCCCCUUUUUCUUCUUAAUUUUCUUGCAUUAUUUUUAAGUUAAUAAAAGUUUGCAUUUUUGGCCUUGGUUUUGGUGCUAAAUAAUGUUCAUUACCGAGUAAGUUAAGUGUUAGAUAUAAAAUUAAUAUUUAAUAAUAAUAAUGAUAGUACUUUGGUAUAUUAACUAAAGGGGCAUCUCUGUGGAGCGAGCGAGUUGUUCUUUUUAGCUAUAUAUUUGGCAAAUUUUUAUCCAAGUUUUGGAGAUUUUGGGAUUAAAUUGUAGAUUUGGUACACAGCAAAGAAUUGGCCUUACUUAGAUGUCUUCUUUGCUAAAAUUUAGGUUUAGUUCUUGGUGGGCGGUUGCAAAAUUUUGAAUUGGUUGAUCCGUAAGUGUAAGACAUUGGCUUAACUCUUGAGGACUUUCUGUGCUUAAGCACACUACUUAGAGUUUCUGGGUUGUGAUUGCUGGCCAUUUGUCAUAAUUUUGACAUUCAUUAUGAAAGAGUGAAAGCAAGUGUUACCUUUAAUAUGAUUGAAAUUAGUGUGAUUAGGUUUUUAUAUAAUUUCAUUUUUCAUUUGUUUGCAGCUUUCUUUCCAAGUUUGCCUUUCUCAAAACGAAUUGUCUUUUGUUUCACAGAUCAAGAGAGAGAUAUCUAUAAUGAAGCUUGUCAGACAUCCUUGUGUUGUUCGGCUUCAUGAGGCAUGGGAGUUUUUAGAUUUAUUUUUCACAGCAUUAGAUUAUUGAGGCAGGGAAUUGUAUUCUUACAAGCUGGUGCUGGUUGUGUUUCAAGUUCCCUUAUGACGCCAAAUUGUUUUGUUAGGUUCUUGCUAGUCGCACGAAGAUUUAUAUAAUAUUGGAAUUCAUUACAGGUGGCGAAUUGUUUGAUAAAAUAGUGAGUACCUUAACUUGGAAUCUAACAGCUCAAAACCUUAAAUUCUUGACAUCAUCGUCACUCUCAUUUAACCACGAUUAUGUAGGUUCAUCAUGGACGUCUUAGUGAGUCUGAAGCUAGGAGAUAUUUCCAACAACUUAUUGAUGGUGUGGAUUAUUGCCACAGCAAGGGUGUUUACCACAGAGAUUUGAAGGUAUACUUACACUGGCAUAUGGAGAGCUGUUGUGUUUUUCUGUUUCACUUAAUUUUUACGUCUGUUUUCCUAUCCAUGUAGCCUGAAAAUCUAUUGCUAGAUUCCCAAGGACAUUUGAAGAUAUCAGAUUUUGGUUUAAGUGCAUUGCCAGAACAAGUAAGACAAUUACUACAUUUAUUGGAGUUUAUAGCUGUUCCCGACUUACAGUGUAAUUGAGAGAAAUAAUAAAAAUUGCAUCUGUUUACUUGGUGACUUAUGCUGUUAGGGAGUUAGCCUACUUCGUACAACUUGUGGGACUCCAAAUUAUGUAGCACCUGAGGUAAUUAUGUGGAUAUUUGCUUCUUUUUUUCUCUUUUUUUUUUUUAAUGCGGAUAUUUGCUUCUUAGUUGAACAAAACUUGGUAUGAAUUGCUGACACUUAUAUUUGUGGACGUUUCUGUACCAAUCUUUUCACUUUUUGUUGUAGGUACUCAGUCACAAGGGUUAUAAUGGUGCCGCAGCAGAUGUAUGGUCUUGUGGGGUUAUUCUUUAUGUUCUGAUAGCUGGUUAUCUUCCAUUUGACGAGCUUGAUCUCACCACGCUAUACAGUAAGGCAUGAUCUUUUUUUUUUUUUUUUAAUUCAAUGGUCUUAUGAAUUUUUAUUUCUUGAUGAGAAACUGAGAAUGUUGUAUGCAUUAAUCUGGAAUCUGGAAAAGAUACAAAAGGGGUCCAUAAGUAGUUUUUUAAUAUUAUGAUUAUGGUACAUAUAAGUAGCUUUUGUGGUUGCCUAUCAAGUUCUUUCUCACGAUGUGCAGAAUUCUUUUAACUUGAAGUUUGCUACAACGUUGCGAAGAUGAAUUCUCUUUAGUUGAUAUUUAUCAACUUCUUAGUUUACAUACUUUAAGCAGUAAUUUGGUUAUUGAGUGAGGUGUUAUGUGGAAAUGAGAAGGAAUGUGAAAAUUUAUGGAGUCUUCACAUAUAAAUGUAAUUAUUAUGCGCACUUCCUUACUGUGGUGUUGAUUGUAUUAUUUCUUAUUCAUCAGUCCAGGCAUUAGAUGGCCAAUCACUACUUAGACAACUUUGCUUAUUCUGAAGUUUGUUUUUGAUAUAAUUUGAUGUCAACAUGAAUGUUAAAUAAACAUUGAUUUUGAUUGAAUUAUUUGAUUCCUUUUGCAGGUUGAGAAAGCUGACUUUUCGUGCCCAACUUGGUUUCCAGUGGGAGCAAAAUCUUUGAUUCAUAGGAUUUUAGACCCAAAUCCUGAAACUGUAAGUAUCAGCUCUCUGAAGAGACUUUGCCUUCUUGUCUUUAUUUGAAUACCAUUUGGCACUUGCAGUCAUGAAUUGCAAAUCUCUGAUUCUUAGAAAAUGUUUCAUAGAAUUCAUUAGUGUUAAUCUCGUUUCUCUGCUUUUGUUUAUUGCUUCUUAAUUCGUCUCUCCCUCUCGCUGUGCAGCGUAUUACCAUUGAAGAGAUCAGGAAUGAUGAGUGGUUUAGGAAGGGUUAUGUUCCAGUCAAACUCAUUGAAUAUGAAGAUGUGAAUCUUGAUGAUGUAAAUGCUGCUUUUGAUGAUUCUGAGGUUGGUAAGGCUUUCAAAUGGUAACUUUUGUGUUUUAAAUAUCCAAUAGAACUUAAGUGUGUCUACUUUUACUGACGGCGGUGGUGCUUGGAUCAUGAACUUUCAUUCAAAUGCACUGUUGUCGUAAUUUCCUGUAUAAUUUCUUGACAUUCAUGGUUAUAUGGUUCACCAUAGGAAGGAGAGCCUAAUAACGAGCAAUGUGGGACUGAGGACAUGGGCCCUUUGAACCUCAAUGCCUUCGACUUAAUAAUUUUAUCUCAAGGCUUGAACCUUUCGACACUAUUUGAUCGUGGAGAGGUAUGUAUGAAUUUCUCAUUAUUCUAAUGUUCCCUUGAUUUUUUCCUGAGGCCAGCUCAGCUUAUCCUAUGUUAGGGUAAUCAAGAUAUAAGCUUUAUGUCAACAUUCUUUACAUUACAGAAUCUGCUGUCCUACCUGCUAGGAUUCUAAUUGUUCAGUUAUUGAUGAAGUGAAGCUAUUUUCUUAUUACAAUGUUUUACUAAUGGACCUUGUAUUGAAAUUUUUAUUGCCGUUUUCCAGUAUAGUGUGGAUUUAUGACUCAAAUAUAUACAUCAUUUUAUGAAAUAGUUCAAAAUAUUUUAUUCUUCUACUUCAGUGAUGAUACUGUAUUUUACCCUUGCUCACAGGAAUCUGUAAAGCAUCAGACACGCUUUGUCUCACAGAAGCCAGCAAAAGUUGUUUUAUCAAGUAUGGAAGUUGUUGCACAGUCAAUGGGGUAUAAGACGCAUAUUCGUAAUUACAAGGUAGAAUGACUGACCACUUGGAAUUUUCUGUAUCAUGGCAUUUCUAUGAUAUCAUAACAUCAACUAGUACUCUGUUUCUUCUUCAUUGCAUCAGUACUUAUUUUGGAUUAAGAAUGAUUCUGUGCACGAUUUCUGAACUCUUAUUCAUAUAUAUUUCAUUAACUUGCAGAUGAGAGUGGAAGGUCUUUCUGCAAAUAAGAUCACUCAUUUCUCAGUUAUACUGGAAGUAGGUUUCCAACUGCCAACUCUGGACAAGAUUUCAGUUUCCCCAAUAUUUAUGUCUACGCAGUUCUCAUUUUCUGUUUUAAUUUGUUUGGAGUGAAGGUUUUUGAAGUGGCUCCCACAUUUUUUAUGGUUGACAUUCAGAAAGCAGCUGGAGAUGCUGCUGAAUAUCUGAAGGUCAGAUAUCUGUAUCCUUUAUCAUUGCUGUCUUUUUGCAUUGAGCCAGAAAUUUAUGUAUCAGAUAGUCCAAUAUGAUCUCUGCUUGAAAUAAUGAUAAUUUAUUAAUGGUUUUUGGGUUUAUUAAUUUAGUUGAAAGGGAUGAAUUUCUGUGUCUUUUGCAGUUCUACAAGAACUUUUGCAGUAAUCUUGAGGAUAUCAUCUGGAAGCCGCCUAAUGAAUCAACUAAAGCAAAGAUCACCAACUCAAAGAGUAAAAAGCGUUGAUUUCUCUGUCGCCAAUUAGAGUUUGACGCUCAAGUUAUUAAACAUAAAUUAGGGAAAAAGAAAAAGAAAACAUAAAAAUAUUAUUGUUUUGUAUGGUUAGUGUUUGUAACAACUGACAAUAAUACUUUAUGAGAUUAGAUGAGUAUAUAUACUUUAUGAGAUUAGAUGAAUAUAUAUAUAUAUAUAUCUGUAACUAACUGUUACUUUCAGAAAGAAAAUUAGUCAAAUCAUGAAAUCAUAGUUCUUCUAGCUGUGUGAUUGUUGUUUUUGUUUUUUAAUUUUUUAAUUUUUUUUUGUUCGUUUUCAGCACAUUGUCAAACAUAAACUAGUGAAAGAAUCUUGCAAUAUAUUAUUCCCACAGUAAAAUAAGAACAUUCAAAUUCAAAAACUAACACCAAAAUCCCUACAUGUACAAUGUCCAUUGACAAAUUUAUGAAGCCGCUUGCUGUCUCUAACGAUGAUUUCUCUAGCUGUAAGUAAUGUGAUGAUCUUGAUAAAAUUAUGGCAAUCCCUGCACACAGUGGUACUCUUGACAACCAGAAUUGGUGAAACAAUUGGUGUGUUUAGUAACCCGAACGCAAUGGCCAACUUUUCGCUGUGAUAAACUGAAGCACUCUCCUCAUCAGUAAGCUCAAAGCUUUCUUGUUGCUUGUAUCCAAAACACUUGGCUUUUUCAACCAGUUCAUCUAAUACCUUGAAUAUCUCUGCACUCUGAGGAUGCAAGCCAUCAUUGGGUUUAAAUGAAUAAACCUUGUCUUUUAUUCUGAUCCAGCUCCAAUCAUCUGUUUCACUAAGUUUCUCUUCUCUCGUUAAAUUUUUCACAACAGCAACAUCUUCCCACCUCCCUGCAGAAACGAAGAUAUCCAACAACAUGGCAUAACUCUCACAAUCUUUUGGUUUGAGUUUCAGCAACUGUUCGGCGGCAUAAAAUCCUAAUUCCAUGUUUCCAUGUCUCCUACAUCCUGCAAUAAAGACUGACCAUAUAACCUCGUUGGGUUCGAAAUCCAUUUUCUUGAUAAAAUCAAAAGCUUCCUCUAUACAGCCUAACCUAACAAACAUAUCAAUCAGGCACAUGUAAUGGUCCAUCACAGGCUUGAUUUUGUAUUCCUUUUGCAUCAUUUCAAAGUAACCAAGUGCUUCAUAGACCAUUCCAGCAUUGCUACAAGCUGCUAAAGCACCUACAAAAGUAACCUGGUUUGGUCUAACACCAGCAAGUAGCAUAUCCUCAAAGAGCUGCAGUGCUUGAUGACUCAGGCCAUGAUUUGCAAACCCAGUAAUCAUUGAUGUCCACGAUAUCAAUGUUCUUGUUGACAUUUCCACAAAAACUCUGCUUGCUCUCUCAAUUUUUCCACAUUUGUUAUACAUGUUAACUAGUGCAGUUCCCACAACCACAUCUGACAAAAACCCAGUUUUCAGAGUCAGAGCGUGAAUCUGUUCCCCUUGUUCUAAGGCCACCAAUCUACUGCAUAUAGUUAAGAUACUUGAGAAAGUGUAUAGAUCAGGUUUCAUUCCUGAGCUGUUUAAUUUCGAAAAAAUUCUUAAUGCCUCAUUUCCACCAUUGUGAGCUGAUAGGUCGUCCUUAGCAAGAUCCAUCAUCUGGGCAUGGCCCGCAAUCAUUGCAUUCCAUGUAACUAAGUUAACAUGACUCAUGCCAUCAAAAAGUUUCUGUGCCUCGUCAAAUAAUCCACAUUUCAGGUACAAAUACAUAAUAGAAUUUCUUACACGAAGAUUUGAUGCGUAGCCUAGUUUAAUGCCCACAGAAUGAACCUGUGCUCCUAAGCGUAAUGACAGCAUUGUACCGCACACGCUCGAGAUGCUAGUUAAUGUGAAUUCAUUAGGCUGAAUACCUUCAGAAAGCAUCUUAGAAAAAAAUCUUAGUCCCUGUACAGCUUCACCAUUUUCACCACUAGCACCUAUAACUGUAGUCCAUGACAUCACAUUCUUUUCUCUAAUCCUGUUGAAGGCUUUAAUUGCAGAAUUCAAGCUGCCACAUGUUGAAUAUAAGCUACAUAGUGAGUUUCCAACACUCGUGUCACCUUCAGUCUGGUACUUGACAACAUAAGCAUGGAUUUGCUUCCCCAAUCUAAUGGACUCCAGUGAAGAGCACGCAGUCAAAGCAGUUCCUAGAGUAACAUUCGUAGGGUAAUUGCCAGCUUCCAACAUAUCUAGAAACACAUGAAUAGCAAGCUCUGGCUGUGAAUUUUGAACAUAACCCGAAAUCAAGGAUGUCCAUGAAACAACAUUUAUUCUAGGCAGAUUGUCGAAAACCUUCUGAGCUUCUUCCAUAUUCCCACAUUUCCCAUAAACAUUGACAAGGAAUGUCAUAACAAAGAAGUCUUGAUGGGAUCCAGUCUUUACGAUGUGAGCAUGAAUAAUUUCAGCAUUUGAAAGUGAUUUCCUAUUUACGCAUUCUUGUAAAAGAGAAACAUAACUAGAUGUUUGAACUUUUGGGCCUUCAGUUAGCACAGACAGAGCUUCUUGAAAGCCUAGAGACCUAACUGGUUCUGAAUUGCCAUUCAGUUGGAUGAGCUUACUCCCACUUCUCUGAUAUGAAACGGUGUGAUUCUGUGAUAUAACAUAGGGCUUGGCGUCAGCGCUUGCAGAAAGAAAUAACAAGGCCCUAAUGAAAAUUUCUUAAUAAAUUAAGAUGACGAAAACAAAGAAACCAAAACUAGCACUUGAAUAAUUGAAAGACAGGGUCACUCAGCCUCUGAUACCAAACUUUCACCCCUUCAUUUCUUCAAAUCAAAGCAAGUAAAAGCACUUCCGAAAUACUAGUUAGCUAAUUAUUCUAGUUUCAAUUUGUUAAUUCUAAGAUAUAAUCUUCAAAAGAUGUCUGAAGAAUUGAUGCUCAACCUUCAGUGGGCAGAAUUAAAAUUGGAAAAAGAAAAUGAAGAGUGGAGUGGAAAACAAAAGGUACCUUAUCCUUUAGGGUGGCAAGAGAGCUGCUGGGUUGUCUGGAUUUUGUUUCAAGAGUGCAAGCCGCAGCAGCAGCCCAAGGCACAGAAGCCAUAAAGGGAAAGGGAAGCAAAUGAAGACGAGCAAGUGCUUAUUGGAAAAUUACAUCUCGGGAAACAAACAUAUUCUCAUCUCUUUUCUGCUUGGAUAAGAAACUGAGAAGGGAAAGAAUGGACCCAAGUCAGUUAUCGGUUAACCCAUCUUCAUCUUCUGCCGCAAUAUUUUUAACGUAAAUUAUAUUUUACACCUCAUUUCUUUCAGUUUAUUCGACUUUUCCCCUUACAGUUUCAAAUAGUUUAACUUUUGGCCUUAUUAUUGAAUAAAUACUAAAGUGGCCUUCUUAAAAAAAAAAAAAAAAGGUGAAUACCUUAAAGUGCCUUAAAAUAGAAGUAGUUCUAAAAAAAAAAAAGCAUUUCACGAUUGAAUUAUGAAGUAGUGCCAAAAUUGAAAUAUGAAUAAUCUUUUAUCAAAUAUAGGAAAAUGAACAACUUACAAUUAGGGAUGGCAAAAAUCCCCACGGG
rnacentral:lncRNA from 1 species